rnacentral:lncRNA from 1 species
AAUUCUCCAUGCAUAUACGCAUCCUAUACUGCAUGGCCAACUUCAGAGAGCUAAAAGAAGCUCUUAUUGAAUACAUGAUAGAUAAUGUCCCACUGACCCUUUUACUCUGAUACCUUGAAAUGAGAAAUUUGGAGGUUUUCCACAUCAAGCUUCUUGAAAUUAUUGCGCCUUCUCGUAACAAAGAACUUUCCCCAGUUGUAUGCUCUAUACUUUGGCUUUUCCCCCUUCGUCAGCUCCUCCAAGGGCUUCACCCAAACAUGGUGCCCGGGACUCAAAACGAACGGAAUCGAGAACCUUUACCUCUCUGAAUUCUCCAUCACCCUGUGCUCCACACUUUCAUAAGUAUCGUUGCUCCAGACCUGGUUUAAUAUCAGUAGAAUUAGCCAAAUGAGUGUAAAAUUCCUUGAGCCAAACAGUACUGAUAAGCAUGUACUUAUAAUUCAAAGUUCUUGGGUGGUACCUGAACUAUAUCCCCAACAUUGAUGAUAUAAGCAUCUGGGGUGGGCUUAACUCGAACCCAUUCUCCAUCGGUUUUUCGAUUUACUUCCAACCCUCCAACAUCAUCCUGAGCAAGGAAAGUUAAGGCUCCGGAAUCCUUGUGGCGACCAACGCCCAGAGCUAGGUGAGGAAUGGAGCAAGGUGGGUAGUGAUUGAGGCGGAUGAAGUUUGUUGAUUCUUCAUUCAGGGAUUAUUUCAUCCCUUUUAACCAAAUAUUUAACAUGAUCAAAGACUAUUCCCUAAAUGAAGGCAUACUGUAGCAAAUACCCUUAAUCUGAACAUUGAAAGUACAACUUAAACUAGUAUCAAACACUCUGUUUUUAAACCCAUAGCUACUCCAAAUAUCCCAAAUACUCUUUUCUAUGUAACCUCUCUUUGUCUCUUUCUCGCUCACACACACAUGCUUCCCCACAAAAAUACAUACACACAUAGAGAAGAACACAAUCUCUUAUCCGAUUCCCUUCCGAUUUAUGAUUCUAAGCUGGCGGGUCACUCUCUUAUUCUUUUGCUUUCUUGCGAUGGAGCUCCAUGCUCUCCUUUCCUCAUUUUUUUUCUUGGAUAAAUACUCUAUAAAACAUCCUCUCUCGAUGCUCUAUCUAAACUCACUUGCUCAUUUCACAUUUUUUUCUUUUUGGAUGCUUUCUUUAUGCUCCCAGGCAUAUGCCAGUUUUUUAUGACUAUUUUUGAAGUUGGGAUUCAGAAUUCACUAAAAUCUUUUCUCAAACUUGGAUUUUUCUCAACUCAACCCUAACUUCUUUUCUAUCAGUACCAAGGCUAGAGAAUAUAGUUUAUACCCUUGUAUUUCGUUAUGUACCAAGCCCACAAGAUGAUCAAUAAGUUUCUCUCUAGAUUUUACAUUGGAGUUGAUUGAUGACAUACCCUUAUUAGGUACUAUAUUCUCUUCCUUAGGUAUUGCUUUUUCCUUCCUUAGAUACUACCUUUGCAACCUUGGGUGCACGAUCGAAUCCAUCGUUUCAUGGCCACUUCAAGUAAGUCAGGAACUUAUGUACAUGUGUGCUACAUGUCUUAUAGGUAUUACCUUUACAUUCUGUAGGUACUACCUUUACCUUCCAUAGGUACAAAUAUGAUUAAUAAUAAGAAUUUUAACAUAAAAAAGGGAAAAAUCAUGUCUGAUAAUAAAAUUGCAUAUAUUUUCUUUCUUGCUUUUUUUUUUUUUUUUGGGUCUUUGCUUUGGUUUUUAUUUAUGUGUUUGUUUCUUUUAGUCUUUGUGUGUGUGUGUGUUUUAUUUUAUUUUAUUUUUUUCAUCCCUAUGCAGAAGAUGUAGAGGAAGCAACAUCACAUCAUAAGGUGCAUUUUUCUGUUCAUUUAAGCCUAAAGGUUCUGGAUUCACAAAAUGGUGGGAACUAAGGGUGAGAAACUGGAAAAAAAAAUGUUGGAUUGAGCUACAUUUGAUCAAUAGUGAAUUUGCAAAAAAGAUUGUAGGAGAGGUUUCUUGAGGUGGACAAGGUCAGAAGCAAGGAGCCUUUUCCUAGUUUUUGGGAAGAACUUAUUGUUAACGUGUGAAUUCAUUAAGGGUAAUUUAUGUAAGAUUUUCUAGAUUUUGCAAGUGAAUGCACCUUAGCUUUUCCUAUUGUAUUUGUGUUUUUUUAGGUUGAUUAUUUUAUUGAUCGUCACCACUCAAGGAAUGGAAGCAAUAGGGUCUCUAGAUGUACUGCGUAAAGGCGGGCAUACAGGCGUUGUUAGGAAUGUGUUUCCCAUGUCCAACAAGCAUAUUGACACCACCUAAAGCCAAGGCAUCUUUGGACGAGGAGUUCUAGCUUCUACUUCUGUGGACUUUGUAGAUGUCGUCUGGCUCUUCUAAAUAUUUAUUGUUAUGUAGUAGUUAUACACAUGUACUUUGUUUAAGUGAAUUGAUUAUUGGAUUUUUAGUUAAAUCAAAUUUAAGGGUAUGUUGUUUAAUUUACUAGUGAUCUCUUGUUUGUAAUUCUCGUUAUCAUAUAUAAAUCUUUGUUAGCAUUUUCCAAUUUCCUCAAUAGCAACUAUAUUAGUUUUCAGUGGAAUGAAUCUUGAGUAACUUGUAGUAUCAUUUUUGGUUUUGAAUUGACUAAUCUGUUUUGGAAGGAUGAAUUAGAUAUAUGAGCUUGAUUGCUAACAGUAGUUGAGUUUGUUUUGAUCUCGGGAUAUUUGCCUUGUUGAAUAGGACGUAGAUUUUGGGUCCAAAGAGUUGAAAAUUGAUGAGCUUAACCAAGACAUAGGAGAACCACAUGCAACACUAACCAGAGUUCCUACAACAAGCUAAUAACCAUGAUUUAGAAAUGUGAUUUCGUUAAAGGGAAGCAUUUCUAAUCUUAUUUGAAAGGAAACUUUGAUGUCUUCCCUAAUACACUAGAAUAUUAAUUUAAAAACAACAAUUAAGGUUAUAUUAACUAUUAUAAUAAUUUAUAAAUUAUAUAAAUAUGAUAAUAACUAUUAAAAUGAAAGUAUUAAAUGUAAAAAAGUUUAAUCUUGUUGGGUAAAAACUUCAUCAAUCUUUUAUUAUUGAACUUCUAUUAUAUAAUCAAACAUAGUGAUGAUCCUCGGUUGGAUUAAUCAACACUUGUUUCAUAAAUUGAACAACAUAUAACAUGAUCAACCAUAAACAAACAAGUAAACAUCAUACUAGAUAAAACUAUCUCUUAAGAUUUCUAUUAUUACAUGUUUAAAUUACAAAUCAUAUUUUUGCAACUUUCGUAAAAUUAUGCAAUAGAUAUGAUUAAAAUUACGAAACAUCGGAAAUGUAUAUUGAUUCAUUAUUCAGAUUCAUCAUAUCAUAUAUAUCCUUUAGUAGUCCAUAAGAUCAAAUAAUAACCAAAAUUCAAAAAAUAUGUUUUAUGAUCCAAAAUUGAUUGACACUAAUAUCAUUUGUUAAAUAAACUUUAUGUGAAAUAAUUAUUUUGGAAAAUCAAUUUGGAUGCAUAAUGCAUAAUAGGUAUAAGAAAUAAAGAAAUGACAAAAUAAUAAUUAUAUUCUUGUCUUAAUCCAUGAUACUGAUAACACUUGUAAUGUGAAUUUGAGUCAUUUUGUGAAUUGUUGGGUCAAGGUCUUCAACUCACCAUUCUCAUUUAGUAGAUGAGUCAAUUGUGUGGUAUAUGUUGUUAUAAGUAAAACAACUAAAAACAUAAGAAUGCAAUGUGACUUAGGACCUUAACUUUAUAAAAAAGAUUUAUAACUCUUAAUAUUCUCAUAAAAGAUUAUAUGAAAGUUAUACUCAUUAUUUAUAAACAUUAUACACAGAUUAAUGGACAAUGGUAAACUACCAACUUGAAUACAUUCAUGUAAUUGUAUAAAUUACACUUUUUCAUCUUCCUCUAUUAGUCAUAAACUUUAUGUACAAAUGAAAUCUCAUAAAGAUGGAGUUACACAAGUUGUAAUACCAUAUUCUUAUAAAUGAAAUUUUUCUAACUCUGUAUUUAUAAUUUUAAUCUUCUAUGUUAGAAGUUGAAUUUGUUCCACGUCGCCAAGUUAUUGGGUUAUUAUGUUGUUCAUAUAUGUAGAUUGGUCACCUCUCCAAGCUAGCUUUUGGGAAUGAAUUCUAUUCAAACCCAUUUAACAUGGUAUCAGAGCUUGGUUUGACUGUGGGUUGUGGGUUCGAGCCACCUCUCUGCAAUUCGCAUGUUUGUUCCUUAUUUGCAUGUUUGGAAGUCUAGAAAAGGUUAUUUGCAUUUGUUUGUCUCUUCACGUGUGGAUAUGGGACCACACAUAAGAGAGGGUGUUAAAAAGCUUGAUAUGUACGUAUAUUGAACCUAAAUCUUAUAAGUUUAAGCUUUUAGGAAAAUUAGUAAUUCAACAUUCUAUACAUAAAAUUAUUUGAUGUCCAAUCAAUUGAUUCACCUACCUAUCAAUUAAUAUACUUUUAAAUAAAAUAUAUUUCAAUCCAUUACACAAAUAUAAUUAAAACAAAAUACUAUAGUAAUGUGAGUAUGUGAUAAAUAAAUAAAAUAAAAAUAAUCACGUGUUACAUGUAAACUAUAUUCAAAGGAAAAACCCACUAUUAAACAAUCCAUUGUAUAAUGAUCAAUUACAAAGACCAAGUAUUACCAAACUUAAAAGUAUCUAAAUCAUACUCACUUUGCACAUUUUCUUUAUACUUGGAUCCUUUAAACACAUUUAUCCCAAUGUGGAUGCAUCUUGAGUUCUAAUCAAGGAAAUCAACCUUUGAGUAAAAUUUUCAUCAAGUUAAAGUCUCUUUAUAUCAUUGAGAACCAUAUCAAGAUUUCUUUUUGUUGGUUGCUUUCAAAGUCCCACUAGAAUUAGAAUGAACAUUUUAUAAAUUCUAGGACUUUAACAUAUGAAUUCUUCAAUGAGUCAAUCAAAUAUUAAAUUUUAUCUCCAUAGAUGGACCUCAAUGAAUUUUUCAACAAAUUAAAGGUGUUAACACUAAUUUCAUAUUAGAAAAAAAAAAAAAAUCAUGUGACACAUAUUGAUAUAUAUAUAUAUAUAUAUAUAUAUAUAUAUAUAGGUGUUGUCUGGGAUAAAUAGAUUGAAUUCAUGAGAAAAUUAUUCUUAAUUUUGUAAAAAUUAUAUAUAUAAGAAAGUUUUUAGACUUACUAAAACACAUUACUAAUCAAGUGGUAAUAUUUAUAUCUCAUUAUUUUGUAAUCAAGUCUCAUUCAUUUGUAUCACAUAUGAGUCCUAUUAUUUUAUACCUUACUCUUAUUAUAUUGUACUUUGAUCUUAUUUGUUUAUACAUCGAUUUCAUUUCUUUAUAUGUUCAUCAUAUUUAUUUAUAUCUCGAUCUUAAUUAUUUAUAUCUUUCAAUAGUUUAGAUUUCAAUACAUAUUUUUAAAUAUUUUAAUUGGAAAUUCAAUAUCUUACUAUUUUUCUAAAUAGCUACCUAUAAUCCUUUGUAGACUCAAAAUUCACUUCAAGCCAUCAAAAAAAUCGACCUCUCUUUGUAAGUUGCUAUACUCAUUGCUAAACUAUAAUUCCAAAAAUAGCAGAACUUUUCAUACUUAUUCUAGGCAAUUAGAGUCGAGAUGUUCCAGGCAUAUACCAUUGUCUUUCAAGAUUUGAAAGAAAUGUUACGAUUUCAGCAUGAAAUAAUGCAUGUCGAUUAACAAUAUUGCUCAGAUUCUUUAGGCAAAGGUCCCAGCCUAGAGAUUGAUAAUGUUUCUUUGAAGCAAAAUGACAAAAUGGAAUAACACAAGAAAGCCAGAACCAAUUAAGUGUCCACAGACAAAAAAAUUUAUUUAUUUAUUUUCUGAACCACCCCUGAAAUUGACACCUCCCAUACAGUCUGCAUUUCUGUGGCACUAUUUCCCUUAUUCCUAACCAUAAAUCUGCUGCCAUCUCAAUAAUUCACAUCCUUAUCCACUCCUUAUCUAGGGUUGUAACACUUUUUUCAAAAAGAUUUUUUUUUUUUUUUUUCUAAGGGGUGGAUAAGGGUCCUGAGACAAGCUGUGGAAUAAUUAUAAACCCACUUGGGUAAUGGUUUCAUUGUCAGGGUAAUACUAUUUAAGGUGAAAAUCAGCUGGGUCUAUCAUUCUUGUUUCCAUAUGACUGUUUCCAAGGAUAACUCAACCUUCAAAUCCAUCGAGCAGUCAUAUAAAAAUACACGCAGAUUUCAUAUUUUGAAGCUUGUCCUGUGUUCAGAUCGGAUAACUCACUCAUAUGCCUAAUCACCAAUCGCCAACUUGAGCGUAAAAAAAGCGUGGGGCGAUAUUAUUUGUAUAUGGGUUUGACUGUUUGAGAGAGAAAGGUGGGGUGUCCCUUGGAGGAGUCCAAAGGCCAUUUUUGAACCUGCCUUUGAUUAUCGCCAUGGCAAAUCAACAGCUUGUAGUGUAUAUAUAUAUAUAUAUAUAUAUUAAUGGAGACCAAGACUCAAAUAGAGAGAGAGACGCGGGAUGCGAUAAAGAGAACAGUAUAGCCAAGAGUAUAUAAGCAUUUCUAUUGCUGUAAUGGUGAUUCAGAGACUGGAAAUGUGUAUAUCACUGCUGAAAAUGGCAGUAGAGUUUGUGCUUGUUUUCGCGGAGGCAGUCGGGCUAGUCAUCAACCACAAUGCCACGCCGCUUUUGGCAAACUCAGCCUCAGUUGGCAAUGAUGUUUCUGUCCCUUUUAUCGGUUUUCUUCUUUGAAUUCUUCGUCUUGUAGUUUCCUUCCUUAGCAGAAUGCCCAUUGGCCAUUGUAUACGUUGAGGUUUCAUUUUUGUCUUGAUAGAUUUUGCCUUGGAAAGUGUCUGUACUACCAGCUAAAAGAUGUGAAUGUUUGAUAGGAGAGAGUACAUAUAACAUCUUUGUAAACUUCGAUUAAUUUUGGUUCUGGGUGAGCUUCAUCUUCUGCAAAUUCAUUUGCUGGUAGCUUUGGAAAUGAAUCUUCAGUGGUUUGGGUGGUGAUUAUUUGCUUGCUUCACACGAUUUUAUGUGUUGUUCCUUUGGUAAUAAUCUUGUUGGAUGGAUCAAGGAGGAGCGAUGAUCAGGAAAAUAAAGUCGGGAGAAAGAAAAGAUAUAAUGAUGAUUAAGAAAGGCUUUAAUAUACUUGCAAGAUCAGGAAAAAAUAUUUCUUGGUUAAUCAAUUAUUUUCUUGCUUGAUAUGGGUUUGAUACUUUUUGUCAAUUGGUGAUCAUUCUGGGAAGAUCAGGAAGAAGAAAAUGGGGUCUAGAUGAAGAAAAGCUAUAAUGGUGAUUAUUAAUUGAAAUCAGAUGAAAUAAAAGUCUGUUUCCAUCAUUCUUAAUAGGGUUUCAUAGUCCCCGCAGGACUUUAGUACUCAUCAAACUCAUAAAUUUUGAACAACUUUGAGCUAACCUUCUGCAUUAAUUUGGUGCAUCUGCGCAGUUGCAGAGUAUGAACACCCACAAAAUCUUAAUAUGAAUCUUUUGGGGCAAUAGCUUCUAUAUAUGAUGGAUGAUAAGAACAAAGCAAAUCUUGGGUUCUCCAUGGCCACGAUCAUUUAUCCGCCAUAUAAAAUGCAGAUUUUCCUAACACCAACCCCUUAUUUUAAUAAAGUCAAGUUAUUUUAAGGCCCCCAUUAUUAGACAUGCCCUAGAAGCAUUGGGUCUGUGAUUAAAAAAAUGUAGUAAUAUCAUUUAAAAUAUCUAACACUGAAAUUUUGAUAAUUUUGAAUGUCAUAGUGUGGAUUUGAAGAAAGAAAUCGUAUCCAAGAUCUCUUCCUUUUCCUGGGAAACAUUAGUCUUGGUCAAUUAUGAACUGUUACACGUUACCUAUCAUGAUCAUAUUUAUAUUAGCUUUGAUUUCUAUGGGGGUUAUAAUUUAUUUGUAUGCUAAUCAUAGAGGUGAUACAUGUGAUCCACAUGUCAUAUUUGGACUUGGAACCAAUCAUUGGAUUCCUUUGAUGAACUGGCAAUGGAAGAAUACUAAUUGCUCCGGUCCCUUUCUUUUUUCAACGUAGGAUGAUCAGGUCCUUUGAUCUCUUCCACACCCACUGGCUGUUUUUCUUUGUUCCUUUUUCAAUCAUCCAUAGCUGAAAAGCCUUGAUGCCCUCCUUGACUUUCCCAAGAUAAAACACCUUAUCUUCACUUUCUUUCUUUUCCCUUUAAAUUUGAUUUUAGAUCUGAAAUCCAGGGCUUAUGACCCUGUAGAAGAAAGACAGAUAUGAAGCUUGGGAUGAUUUGAACUUCAGUUUGAUUUUCUGCACACUGUUUAAAACUCCUGAAAUAUAGUUGUAUAUUGCAAUACAUUUAUAAUUGAUACAACUGAACCAUGAUGUUUCUAUUAGUAAAAAUUUCUUUGAAUCAAUCCACAGUUCAAAGUACCAAUUUCAAUUGAAACUUUUUUCUUUUCCUGCUUAUUCAAUUGUUUCGUUUUCCACAUAAUGGUAUGACAACAUCAAGAAUACUUCUCAGCAAUUGCCUGCAGGUGAACCCAAAGCUCUUUUGGCUGAGACAUCAUGACCAUGUGAUCAGAUCCUUUAAUCUCUUUAACAGCAUCAGGUGGGUUUUCUUCGAUCAUCCAGAGUUGAAAAUCCUUUUUCGCCAGCUUGUCUUCCUCAGAAAUAAUAAAGACACGUUUAACCGAGGCAUAUUUCUUCGACAACAUGAGAUCCUUUGACAUGUCUUCUUCACUGAACAAGCGUAAGGGUCUCAUCAACAUAGUCCCUAGUGCCAAGUCCUGGAAAAUUUGUGCCCAAAAUGAUAUAACAACAACAAUGAAAAGUCUCAUGAUUUUGGCUGUAAGGCCUGAAUUAAUGAAGUUCUCACCUCAGUUGGGCUCAACUGAUACACAUUCAGUGAUGAGAACAAGGGGCCAAAGGUGAAAGUGGUGGGAGGAUUGUUGGGGCCAUUAUCAUAUGUGAACUGGCUGUCUAGUAGAGGACCUUGUCUCCUGAGUGACUUCAAUAAGAAGUAGAAACCAGGCUAAAAGUCAGAAACAGGGGAAGCCUUCCCCUCUUAAUCAACAAGUAAAUUUCUGUAAAAGAAAAAUAGUAUGUAUGAAGUACCUCUUGAUUGAGAGUGGAAAUGUUGAGAGUGGGACCAGGCAUUGAGGCAGUAACAAAAACAGCUACAGAAACCUUUUCUGGGAACUUCUCCAUGGCCUGAGAAAUGGCCAACCCACCCAAGCUGUGUCCAACGAGAACCACCCUUUCAUCUGCAGGGAGUGACUCCAUGAAGUCCCUCAGUGGCUGGAAAUACUCAGAAAUAGAUCGCAGAUCACCCACUUGUUUUGGGUUAAUUCCAGAAGCAGCCAAGUCCAGAGCAGUGACUUUGUGGCCAGAUGAUUUUAGUAGUGCCACAAUCUUGUACCAAGACCAGGCACCAUGGCAAGACCCAUGAACUAGAACAUAGUGCUUGACGGGAUUAGCCUGUCUCCCCUCUGAUGCCAUUGAAUACACUGAAGAAACAAGAAAAAUCAGAAAGGAAACUAAAAUCGUAUGCUUCUUCCUUUCCUGCGUACUCCUUUCCUGUUACAGAGAUGGUCAGCACCCAAGCAUUUUAAAGGGCACAAUUGGCUUUCACUACAACUACUAAUCUAAUGGAUUAAAAUUUUUCCUGUGAAAUUGACUCUAGAAAUAAAAUAAGGAUUAAGGAUUCAAGAAUAUGUACACAUAGACUGCCAGGGUUUAAAAGAUGACACAUGCACCUGCGUCACACUCUUUUUCAAUGAUAAAGAAGUUAUGCAAAGGAAGAAAGAAUGAAAUAUACAGAGUCUAGUAGUUAACUCCUCCCCUUGAAUUCUUCUGUUGCCCGGAUUGGUUUGUAACUGCAAACAUUUUCUUUUCCCAAUGUGAUCUGUGGAUUGAGUUCUGAUCUCAAUUUGUUUUUGGCAUUUUUGGUUUUGCUUCUGCAAAUCUUGAGAUGUAUCUUUCAAUUAAUAUAAGUAAGUUAUGCAGUAAAGGUUUUUGGACAUAUAAAAUGUUAGCCAAACCUUUCCCAUGGCGGGUUGAAGGUACUUUGGGGUAGGCUUGGUCACGCUUGAUACCUCAAUCGGACUGAAACAUGAUGUUUUCACCCAUUUGAAUUGGUCAAAGCUGUGUUGACUGGCAUGAUUCCUUUAAUAAAGAAGUUGUUUUUGGAUUAAGGCCUACAACACCAAUUUCACUUAAAUACAUCUAUUUAAUAAUUAUGUAUUAACAUAAUUAUAAUCAAUUGAGUCGAAAACAAUUAAAUUAAAAAGUUAAUUAUAUUGACUUAAAUAAAAUCUGACUCAACCAGAUUAUUAAAUAAAUUACUCAACUUAUUACAUGUUUAAUAAUUAAGUCGUAUUUGGGUUUAUACUUUUAACUCAAUUAUUAUUCAUGUUAUAUUUGUGUUGACUUAUUAAGUCACAGUAUCUAAAUUUAAUUUGAUAUGACAUGAACACUACCCACCAACAUUAAUUGUAUCCCCUGUUUUAAGUUCCGGUGGCAUCAUGAGUUUGGCCUCUGUUUUGAGUGUUGAAUUAACCUUUCCCAUGGUUGUCAAGUUCUUCAUAAAUUAUUGGUGAUUGUAAUAAUUUCCUCAUAAAUUAAUGGCGCUAUAUGCUUCUUUAGGAUCCAUUGAUCUUACUAAUUCUCUUCCUGGUAUGGGAAGAAAAUGACUCUUCCAUUAAUGCAGCAUGCAUUGCUACUUAUUUAUCAAGCAAAUUACAUUAUUAUUUUCACACCAAACCUCCAAAUUCAUCAUGUACUUAUCCUAUAUACUACAUGGUGAACUUUAGAGAGCUAAAACAAGCUCUUCUUGAUUAAAGAUAGAUAAUGUCCUAUUGACCUUUUUACUUUGAUGCCUUGAAAUGAGAAAUUUGGAUGUUUUCUACAUCAAGCUUCUUGAAAUUAUUGUGCUUUCUCGUAGUAAAGAAUUUUCCCAAGUUGUGUACUUUGGCUUUUCCCCCUUUGUCAUCUCCUCCAAGGGUUGCACCCAAACACGGUGUUCGGGAUUGAAAAAGAACGGAAUCAAAAACCUUUCCCUCUCUGAAUUCACCAUCACCCUAUGCUCCACACUCUCAUAAGUAUCGUUGCUCCAUACCUGAUUUAAUAUCAAGAUAAUUAGACAAAUGGGUGUGUAAAAUUCCUUGAGCCAAACUGUACUGAUAAGCAAGUACUAAAGACGAUACAGGCUUUGAGAGUUAAAGGUCGUUCUUUCUAUAAAUCAAGGCAAUAAGUAUAUAUACAACAUACAACAUAGUUGCUGUUACAGGCUUACCAAAUUAAUUCCACAAUAAAGGAAACUAUACAUGGUUGGUUACCAAAACAAAAAUAGGAGAUUAGCUAUACAUAUUACUAAAAUAUAGGAUUUGAUAAAGAUUGAAGUGGACUUUCAAAUGAACCAUUUUCCUUAUCAUGACCCCUCAAGAUAGACUUCGAUUGAAUGCCUAGCUUGACGCACAAGUGUUGUAGAUGAGCUAAGGAUUGUGGCUUUGUUAAGGCAUCAACAAGUUGAUCCGCGAAAGCAAAAUGAGGCACGCGAAAAGUGUAAUCUUGAACUCACAAAAUGAAAAUAAAUAGCAAUAUGCUUCAUCCAAAAUGUAAAAUUAGGUUGGCGCAUAAGUAGGUGGUACCGACAUUAUCACAAUAGAUUGGCAUGGGUUUGGGAACUGAAAUACCCAACUCAAGUAAUAGGGAGUUAAGCCAAAGAAGUUUGGAAGAAGUUGUAGCUACAACAUGAUACUCUACCUCAGUUGAGGAACGGGCAACAAAUGUUGCUUCUUUGAACUCCAAGAAAUGACAUUAUGACCUAAAAACACAACAUGAGCACUAGUUAAAGUACGAUCAUCACGAUCACCAAUCCAAUCUACAUCGGAGAAGGCAUGAAGGCUAAGAGGGGAUCCUUUUCGAAGAAACAAACAAUGAUGCGUUGUACCUUUAAGAUAACGGAGAAGAUGUUUGAGUGCCAACCAGUGAGUGGUAGUAAGUCUAUGCAUGAAUUGAGAGAGUUUAUUGAUUGAGAAAGCAAUGUUUGGUUGAGUGAAGAAGAGGUACCGAAGACCACCAACAAUAGAUCGAUACUUAGUCGAAUUGGUCAAGGAUGUGCCAUCCACAAGGCUAGGUAUCUGAGAUGUUGACAUAGGAGUUGUGAAUGACUUGGAAUCCAUCAUUUUUGUGUGCUCCAAAAGAUCUAAAACAUAUUUGUGUUGAGAAAGAAAGAGACCAAAUGAGCUUGGAAUAACUUCAACCCCUAAAAAAUAAGAGGCAACACCUAAAUCUUUAAUGGAGAACCGAGUAGCAAGUGUGUGAACAAAAUGAUUGAGAGUACCAUCAUCAUUGCUAGUAACAAUAAUAUCAUCAACAUACACAAGUAGGAAAAUGGUAAAUAGAGACUUCUUAUGGAUGGACAAUGAAGUGUCAAAUUUGGGGUAGAAACUGCUUCACAAACCCUUGAUGGAGUAGAAACUGCUUCAGUUCUUGAUACAAGGCACAUGGUGCUUGUUUGAGGCUAUAAAUAGCUUUCUUAAGAUGACACACAUGGCUUGGAAACUAAGGAUCAACAAACCUUGGUGGUUGAGCCAUAAACACAUUUUUGGCAAAAGUCCCAUGAAGAAAAAGCAUUGUUCACAUCAAGUUGACAAAGUGACCAAUUGAAGGAAAAUGCAAGACUAAGAAUGAGUAGACCAGUAGUAGGUUUCACAACCGGGCUGAAUGUCUUAGCAUAGUCAAUACCAGGGAGUUGAUGAAAACCCUUGGCGACAAGAGGAGCCUUGUAUUGAGCAAUAGAGCCAUCAGGAUUGCGUUUGAUUCGGAAAAUCCAUUUGCAACCAACUAGAUUCUGUGACUUAGUAGAAGGAUUCAACUCCCAUGUGCCAUUAUGAAGAAGAGCAUCAAAUUCUUCAAACAUAGCUUAACACCACUCAAGAAGCUUUAAAGUUUGGGUAACAUAGGCAGGUGCAACAUCAGGAGUGGUAGAGACAAAAGCAUACUUGGUGGAUGGUUUGAAGACAUUAUUCUUGGAUCUUGUAACCAUGGGAUGGGUGUUGAGGGUAGGGGGUCGAGUGGGUGGGAUGGGGGAAGGGGUAGGAUGUGGGGUUGAAAGCAAGAUUGGGCUUGGAGGGAAACUAUGUUGGGAUUGUGUAGUCUCAGCAUUGGGGGGUAAUAUAAUUGACUGGCCAGCAAGAGUGGUAUCAUGAAUGGUCGAAUGCUUAACUGGAGUGGUACCUAAGAUUGUAUUGUCCUGUGAUGAGGGAAUUGAUACGAGAGGGAAUGGAAUAGAUGGGACUAUGGUGGGUGGAGGUUUCUCGGCAGUUGAAGAAAAGAGGACCAUUAUCUCAACAAAGGUGACAUGAUGAGAGGUGAAUAACUUGUGGGAAACUCGAUCAAGGCAAAGGUAUGCACUUUGUGUAAGAGAGUAACCUAAGAAGACACAUGGACGAGAUUUGGAUUGAAGUUUGUGGUCAUUAUAUGGGAGUAACUAAGGAUAACAAAGACAACCAAACAUUCAUAAUUUGUCAAGAAUUAGGUUUGUGAUUGAAUAAUUUCUCAUAGGAAGAGAGGAAUGAGAGGUUUGGUUUAAGCAUUCGAUUAAUAAGAUAGACUAUAGCUUAAAAGGCAAAGGGCCAAAAAGAAGUAGGAAUGGAUGCAUGAUGGAAAAGGAUGAGUCUGGUUUUGACAAUGUGUCUAUGAUGACGUUUGGAGUAACCAUUAUGCUUAGGAGUAUGAGGUGGGGUGGUGAGAUGAGUAAUGCUAGCAAGAGCAAAAUAAUCUUUUAACGCUAGAAAUUCACCACUAUUGUCAUAAUAGAUUUGAAUUAUUUUGGAACUGAAGUAGUUUUCAACUAGAGCUUUAAAUCGAACAAAAACAUCAUAGACAUUAGAUUUCUUUUGAAGUGGAUAUAACCAGACAUAUUUGGUGAAGUGAUCGACAAAGAUAACAUAGUAUUUAAAGUUAUCAUUUGAUACAAUGGGAGAACUCCAAACAUUUGAGUAAAUAGUUUGUAAAUGAGAUGAACUUGUAAUAGAUGAUGUAGAGAAAGGUAGUUUAUGACUUUUAUUGCACUUACAAGAAUUACAAGCAAAAGUAGAAAUAUCAUUAGAUGAUAAAGAAUGACUCUUAGAGGAAACUAAAUAUUGAAGAACUUUGGAAGAGGGAUGACCAAGUCGAUGAUGCCAAUUUGGAAGUGAAGUCUUAACAUUGGAAAAUACAAUCAAAGGUUUUUUCGUAGUAGGAGAAUUCAACCAUACAUAAAAACCACCACUAUAGAAUAUAGAAUAUAAUUUUAUAUUUAAUUAAUUUUGCAUUUAAAUAAUAUAUGAUAAAGAUAUUACUUUUAUAUUUAAAUAAUAUAAGAUGGUAAUGAGAUAAAAAUGAAUGUUUUUAUGGUUAUAGGAAUAAAGAAAAAUAAAAUAAAAAAGAUUUCAAUUACUUAAUUAAUAGUAAUCCUAAUUUAAUUUCAAUUAAUAUUAAUCUUAUUUAUAUCUUUCCUUUCUUGAAUAUACCAUAAAAAGAUUUAAGUAGUAAAUAAAUACAUGGGUAGAAGGAUACAUCCAGUCAUGAGGUGUACCUAUAUAUUAAUUUUAUAUUUAAAUAUUAUAGAAUAUAAUUUUAUAUUUAAUUAAUUUUGCAUUUAAAUAAUAUAUGAUAAAGAUAUUAGUUUUAUAUUUAAAUAAUAUAAGAUGGUAAUAAGAUAAAAAUGAAUGUUUUAUGGUUAUAGGAAUAAAGAAAAAUAAAAUAAAAAAGAUUUCAAUUACUAAAUCAAUAGUAAUCCUAAUUUAAUUCCAAUUAAUAUUAAUAUUAUUUAUAUCUUUCCUUUCUUGAAUAUACCAUAAAAAGAUUUAAGUAGUAAUCUGGGAUAGAUAUUAAUUUUAUAUUUAAGAAAUAUAGGAUAUAAUGUAGAGAAUAGAGAUACACAAACAUAUUUUAUAUUUAAGUAGUAAUCUUCAUGAGCUUUACACAAACAAAAAACUUAGAUGUUUACAUCAUCUAGAAGCCCCACUUCGCCUCUCUCUCAGCCCUCAGCCCUCAGGCUUAAGAAGUUGUCAUGAGAAACCUAACACAAACCUUUCUUAUAAUUAUUGUUCAUAGUCGUAGCUACCAAGAAUUCCAAGUUAGGAAGAAAAAAAGAAUCAUAAAUACAGCAAAAAUAACUUCCACUACAUGCGGCAGCAGGGGUACCAAAUUAGGGAAAUUAAGAAGUAAACCAUGCCCAAUCAAUUGCUGGGAAAUAUUAUUUGGAUAUCAAAUUAGGGAAGCUAUUAAGUGUGGUUUUUGUAGUGUUAAAUCAGAGAGAAAUUUAAUUAUAUUAUGAAUUUCAAAUUUAAUUAUUCUAAGAACAAUGAAUUACUCUAAUAGAAUUUAAUGUAUAAAAACAUUUCAAACACUCGCAACAUAUAUCAUUUUCAUUUUUUCCAAAAGCACCAAAACCCUAUAACAAUGAAAAUAAACCCAAUAACAAUGGAAAUAAACCAAAUAACAAUGGAAUCUCAAACCUAAUCACAAACAUUUCCAAAAUACCAACUAACAAAACCCAAAAAAAAAAAAAAAUUCCCAAAACUCACCAAAACCUAGAGAGAUGAUUUUCACGGGAGUUUCUUGGAGGUGGCUUCAGCUUUACCGACCAUAGCUUCCAUGGGGCUUCUUCAGCAUGGCUUCCAUAAGCUUUUUUUGACAAUAGCUUCCUCCAAGCAAUGGGGGUUGUGGGUAGGUUUUGUGGGUUUUAUGGCCGUGGGUUUUGGAGAGGAAGAGAAAAUGGGUUGGCAGGAGAGAGAAAGAAAGGCUUUAUAUUCGAUUAGGAAAGUGAUGUGGCCGUGGGGUAUACCCACAUGGUUAAAAGAAAGACAUUUUUCCAUUAGAAAAAAAUGUCUCAUGGCUUUUUUUAUUGUUAUUGUUAUACCCAAAAAAAAUAAUUUAAUUUUAUUGUUAUACCCUAAAAUUUUUUUAUUGUUAUUGUUAUUGUUCUGUGUUCAGAACUAUUAAUUUAAAAAGUUUUUCAAGUUUUAAAAUUAUCAAAUUUUUAAAAUUUACAAUUAUUUUAAAAUUUUAAAUUUACAAUUAUUUUUAAAAUUUUAAAUUUAAAUUAAUUUUGAAAGUUCAAUGUUUUACUCAAAGUGUUAUUCUAAAAUUUUUAUUAAGUUUUAUCAAGUUUUUUAAGUUUUAAAAUUAUCAAGUUUAAAAUUUAAAAAUUUUAUAUAAAUACAAAGAAUAAUUAAAAAUAAAAUAUAACAUAUAAAUGUUAUUUUUUAAAACAUAUUUAAAAACAUAAAAAAUAUAUAUUAAGAAUAUUUUAGGUUUCUAAAUCAACUUUUAUUUUAAAAUACAUCGGCAAAAAAAUUUUUAAAAAUGUUUUAAAAAACCGUUUUUUGUAUAAUUGUUUAUGAAAAUGUCAAAAUACUUCACAAAUAAACCAGUUCGAGUCCCCUCAGGGCCUCGUGGGAUUAGUCGAGAUGUGCUUAAGCUGGUCCGGACAUCCACGGUUAUAAAUAAAAAAUAAAAAUAAAAAAAUAAAAAAUACUUCACAAAUAAAACUAUAAUUUAUUGGUAUUUUUGUGGGCCUUAGGUGUUAGGAAAUGUUAUAUGUGCAUCCUACUCCUACUCUGUCUUCAUUAUUUUCAGUCCCUUUAUAUCUUAUACCAAUCUACUAUUAUUUUAUCAUAUGGUAUCAGUUUUUCAUAUUUGAUGAUAUUAAUUUCUACCUUAUCCCAUAUGCUUGUAGCUUAAUUUCAUUAUACAUUUGGACAACAGAAUUUCAGACUUCCAUUUGGUACUAAAUAUAAUAAACAUAAACAGAGAAUGAUGCAUUUAAGAAUAUUUUUCCAUGAAUUUUAACUUUAUAAAUUUGUUAAUUUUACAAAUUUAAGAAUUAUAAAAGUUUAGAACUUUUAUUUUUAAUCAUAAACAGAGGAUGUUAUUUUUGUAGUUAUAAAUUGUUUUUGUAUUGCAAAAAUCAUAAAGAUUAAAUAAUAUUUUAUGAUUGAAAAUUAAAUAAAACUAUAAACAAUUUUACUAGUAAUUGUUCAUAGUAAAAUUUAGUUAUCAUGACUAUUGAUACUUUAAAUAUAAUAAGAAUUAUUUAUCAUAUAUAAAAUCAAAAUUGUUUUUUAAUUUGCUAACUCACUUGCAUUUAAACUUUUUAUCAAAUAAUAUCAAAUUGAACCAUCAUAUUUUUAAACUAAUUUAUUAAACUUUAUUUUGCUUCUUAUUAAAACAUUAAUUAUAACAAGGAAAUUAAAUAAUUUUAACUAAAGAAAAAUAGGUAACACACUAAUUUGUUUCUUAACUUAAAAAAAAAUAGUAAUAUAACUUUAAACUUUUUAUAAUUAAUAAGAACUAUUAUUAUUACUAUUAAUGAUAAUUUCUAUUUAUGAUAUAUAUAUAUAUAUAUAUAUAAGAUUUUCUAAAAAAUUAUAAUAGGUAACCCAAAAAUUGUUUAAAAUAAAUAAUAGACUUUGGUCACGAUUGUGUGAACCCCGUGGCCAUAGGUUCAAAAUAUUUAAAAAAAACUCUAUGCAUUGGUAAUGGUCAAGCGAAAUUUGUAACUACAGGUUCUUAUACAGUCACGGUCAAUCAAUGGCGUGACUAAAAGUCACGGUCAAUCAAUCACGUCACUCAAAGUCACAAAAUAUCUAUUUAGUGACGGUUUCACAAAAACCUGUGACUAAAACAUCUUUUUCAUUACACUUUUUGUCACGGAUGAUAAAAUAACCGUGACUAAAGUUAUUGGCGCCAAAAUUUCCCUCCAUAAAUUUACAAAUAGUCACAGUUUUAAAUAAAUCCGUGACUAAAAUACCUCUUAUUAAUCCUUUUGGUGACGGUUGAUAAAAUCACCGUGACUAAACAUGUUUUUUUUUUUUUCCAAAUUUGAUUUAACACAUAUAGUCACAACCUUACCCAAUAAUAUCUUUGGUGGGCCGUGACUAAAGAUUCGUCAUUAAAAAUCUAUUUUUUUGUAGUGCUAGUUGGUCCAUGCAAAAUUCUUGCCCCCGUACAUAGACCAUUCACAUAAAAACAAGUGGGUAAGAAUUCAAUGAAAACAUUAUUUGUUAAGCAAAAUUGGGAAAUUGAAAUCAAGUUCUUUUUCAUGGUGAGAACACAAGGGAUAUUAUUAAGUUGAAGUAGCUUUAAUGCAGUUGGGAGGGUGGUGGAUCCUGUGUGUGUGAUUUCUAGACCUUUACCAUCACCAAUAAUUAUGUCGUCUGGGCCAGCAUAGUCGGAAUGCAAAGAUAGAUUCUGAAGAUCAUUAGAUAUGUGGUGUGAGGCACCAAAAUCCAAGACCCAAUUUGGAGAGACAACAGUUGGUUGAGUUGUCGCAUGUGUUUGUGCAGAAGAGGGGCGGUAACUGUAAUUGGGUGGAACACCAUGAUGUUGACUGGCAAUAUAUCGAAAUGAUGGACAUCUUUUCGCUGAGUGUCCUUGAACACCACACAAUUGACAAGUCCCCUUAUAUGGAUGAGGGGUGUGAUUCGAAGUAUUCGAGGUAGUCAUUGGUUGAGGUUGUUUGGAUGUACGGUAUUGAGACGAAGAGUAAGGCUGUUGAUUGAAGAAUCGAUGCGAUUGUGGUUGUUUGGUAGCAGCAUUGGUGGAAGCAGGCAAUGAGACAUUCCAAGAAGAAUACUUGGCAGAUUCUCAUAAAGUUUGAGCCUCAAGAGGAAGCAAUUUCUCAUAAAGUUCCUCAAAGGAAAAACAGUUUCAUGGGCAUGGAUGGUUGAGUGUAAAUCUUUGUACAUCUCAGGCAAACCAUGAAAUAUUUGAAUAAUGAAGUCCUCAGGGUCUAUGGUGACGUUCAUGAGAUAGAGAACAUCAACGCAAAUUUUAACAAAUUGCAUAUACUGUGUUAUGGACUGAGUGCCUUUGGACAAGUUGUCGAGUUGAGUCCGAUAAUGAAUUAUUCGGCUUCGAGAUGCUUUAGCAUAGGUGUUGUGAAGUGUAGACCAAGCCUCAAGGGAGGUUGUGGCUGAUGCAAUGAAUGAGAAAAUUGUUGGACUAAGUGAUGAAACAAUAGCAUUAAGAAGAUGGUCUUGACGAAUCCAAUGGGUGUAAGCUGGGUUUGGGGUUGUAGUACCCUUUUCAGAAGUAAGAGUGCUAGAAGGACAUGGUAAAGUGCCAUUGACAUAUCCCAGUAAAUCAUAACCGACUAGGAGAGUGUAAAAUUGGAGUCUCCAUGCAGAAAAAUUGUGUUGAGUGAGUUUGAUGGGGGUUUGGGAAGAGGCGUUUAUGGCUAUGAGGUUUUGAGUAGUGUAUAUAGAGAUGUUGGCAGCAGUGUCGAUGGAGGAAACAAUUGAGGGGGAAGGGCUAGAGCCUUCGUUGGUUUAUGGGUUUGGUGAGGCAUGAGAAUCAACUAUGUGAGCUAUGGUUGCUCUGAUACCAUAAAGACGAUACAGGCUUUGAGAGUUAAAGAUUGUUCUUUCUAUAGAUCAAGGCAAGAAGUAUAUAUAUAGUAUACAACCUAGCGUUACAGACUUACCAAAUUAACUCCACAAUAAAGGGAACUAUACAUGGUUGGUUACCAAAACAAAUAUAGGAGAUUAGCUGUACAUAUUACUGAAAUAUAGAGACGAUCACGGAGGAUUUGAUAGAGAUUGAAGUUGACUUUCAAACGAACCAUUUUCCUUAUCAGGUACUAAUUCAAAGUUCUUGGGUGGUACUUGAAUUAUAUCCCCAACAUUGAUGAUAUAUGCAUCUAGGGUGGGCUUAACUCGAAUCCAUUCUCCAUCAGUUUUUUGCUUUACUUCCAACCCUCUGACAUCAUCCUGGGCAAGGAUGGUUAAGGCUUCGGCAUCCUUUUGGCAACGAACACCCAGAGCUAGGUGAGGGAUGGGGCAUGGUGGGUAGUGAUUGAGGCGGAUGAAGGUAGUUGAUUCUUCAAAGAAAAGAUUGAAUCUGUUUUCCGGCAAACCUAAGCUCAGAGAGAUGAGUCCCAACAUCUUGAAAGCUAGUUUUUCCAUUUCUCUAGCAUAUUCUUCACAUACCUCCCUGUAUAAAUUGGUUCAAUUAGAACCAAAAAACCAAGUAAAUCAUUGAAGUGACUCUGCCUUAGCUGGUGGAAUUUGUACCUUAAUUCAGGAGAGUACUGAGGCCACUGAUUGAUCAACUCUUUGAGCUCCUUGUCGUCAGGAUCAGGCGAAGCAGGGAUGAAGGCGGGGGAUGACACCACGAAAUCAAAGACUUCCUUCCAGUCCCUAACGUUCUUGGUAUGCUCAGUAUCAAAAUACCACAAAGGAUUCACCCCAUCUCUACUCACCUUCCUCUUCUCCUACAAUGGCAGAGCGAAGAACUUCCUCGCCGCAUCCUCAAUUUUCCGGCGAGACUCCGAGGGCAUCCCAUGGUUGAUGACUUGAAAGAAGCCUCGAUUCUUGGAUGCAUCAGCUAUUUGAGAAACAUGGUUAGAGGCAUUGGCGGAAGAGAGAUCAAUGAGUGGGAUGCCUUCAGCUUCGAUAACAACGAGCUUAGGCCCAUGUUGGGUGUCUUGGAUGAAGGCUGGAUCGACCUCUCCCAUGGCUGUGGUAGUGAUUAGAACCUAGAAAUGGUGGUUAUGCACUGGUAGCUGCAGGUUGAGAUUGUGAAGGGGACUUGGGCCACUUGGCAGGUGAUUUUUGUAGUGUAGUGGGGUUGGUUUGGUUCAUUGAACCUUGACAUAAUGACAUAAAUGGGAUACGUUUUAUAAGUUCAAGGAAUCAUGGUAUUUGGAAAAUAUGAAUGAGUUGAAAAUUUUAAAAAAUAGGUUUAUAGGAGUAUAUUUUAAGGAAAAUAAUUUUCAAAUCAUAUCAUGUAUAGGAUAGUGACUUUGUACAUGUUUGAGGGGAAUCAUGUCAAAGUGCACUAUUUGAAAAACAUGGCUAAAUUGUAAACUUAAAAAAGUGGUUUCAUGGAGAGUACAUUAUGAGAAAAAUAAUUUCCAAAUCAUGUACUAAAAUAAUAACUGUAUCCAUGCUUCCAAAACUACUAUUCAACAUAUUUUCAUCAUGUCACAUUUUCCUAUGACGUCAUUGCCCUCAUUUCUUAGAAGAAAAACCCUUUCUGUUCUACUUUACUUUACACUGUUUGUUCCUAUAACCCUUUCCUUUUUUUAAUUUUAAUUUUUUUAAAAAAAUAUUUCUCAUCUAUUUUCUCGAUUUUUAAAAUUCUAUUUAAUUAAAAAAAUUAGAAUUUUUUUUAAAGUACAAUUCAUUUAUUUAUUUUUUCAUUUUAUUUAAAUGUGAUGUAUAAUUAAUACAUUAACAUAAAUUAGUUUUUAAUAUAAAAAUAUAUUCAUCUAUAAUAAUUAAAAAUCUAAUAAAUAAAUAAAUAAAUAAAUAUUAGUAUUUUAAAUAAUAUUGAUUUCGUAUAUACAAUAUUUUAUUUUGUUUCAUUAUUAUAGAUCUCAUUUUCUAUAUUUUUUAUUUCUAAUUUUUCUUAUAGAAUUUUAAACCUAGAUUUUUUAAAAAUGAAAUUUAAAAAAACACUAGAAAUUAAAGUUUUUGUUUUCUUCAAAAUAAAAACAAAAAAAAAAUAAUAUACAAAAAAAAAAUAUUAGUUUACCUUUAAUUUCAUUCAACAAAAAAUUAGUAAUGAUAAUUUUUUAAGAGUAUUUAAUUUUAAAAGUAAUAUUUGAAGAUAGGUAAAAUAAAAAUUUUAAAAGUGUUUGUAUUAAAAUUUUGAAUAUAAAUUCACAACUCCCAUCAUAAUACAUUGAUAUUUAAAAUAAAAAAAACCCCUAAUGAUUUUUUUUUAUUAUAUUAAACAUGUAAAAAAAGUACAUUUUUGUUUAAUUAAAAAUUUAAACCAUUAAAAUUGUUUUUUUCUUUAAUAAAUAAUGUUUUUAAAGAGUACAUUAUACCUAUUUUUUUGGGCAUGUUAUUUAAUAAUUGCUACCAAAGUCAUAACAAUGACAAUAAAAAACUAAAUAUAAUAGUGCAUAUUUGCUAUCUAUAGUGGUACUUUUAGUUACUAACAUUAUUAUUUUUAAGUAAAAAUAAUGUUAUUAUUUCCUGACAUAUUUGAUGUAGAGGUUGAAGUGAUGACAGUGCUAAAUAAGUUAGUACAUCCUAUUAUCUACAGUGAUAUUUUUAGUUACUAUUAUUAUUAUUUUUAGGUAAAGACAAUGUUACUAUCUCUAGUGAUACAUUUGAUGUAUGGAUUGGAGUGGUGAUAGAUGAUGUAACAACUGUGUAUAUGGGGUCAAUCAAGUGUAAUUGUCCUCUUAUUUGUAUAGAUCGCAACCCACCUCCGACAGUGGUUGAAAAGUAGUCUUGGAAGCAUAUCACCAAAGGGACAUUUUGAAUAAUAAUUUGGGAAAAAGCGUUCAUCAGACAUAGCCUAAAAAGUAUAUCCCAACAUUGCUGUUUAUUUAUCAAGCAAAUUACAUUAUUAUUGUCACACCAAACCUCCAAAUUCAACAUGUACUUAGCCUAUAUACUGGAUGGUGAACGGGCUAAAACAAGCUCUUACUGAUUACAGAUAGAUACUGUCCUACUGACACUUUUACUCUGAUACCUUGAAAUGAGAAAUUUGGAGGUUUUCCACAUCAAGCUUCUUGAAAUUGCUGCGCCUUCUCGCAGAAAAGAACUUUCCCCAGUUGUAUGCUCUGUAAUUUUGCUUUUCCCCCUUCGUCAGCUCCUCCAAGGGCUUCACCCAAACAUGCUGCCCGGGAUUGAAAGAGAACGGAAUCGAAAACCUUUCCCUCUCUGAAUUCACAGUCACCCUGUGCUCCACACUUUCAUAAGUAUCAUUGCUCCAGGCCUGGUUUAAUAUCAGUAUAAUUAGCCAAAUGGGUGUAACUGAGCCAAACAGUACUGAUAAGCAUGUACUUAUAAUUCGAAGUUCUUGGGUGGUACCUGAAUUAUAUCCCCAACAUUGAUGAUAUAAGCAUCUGGGGUGGGCUUAACUCGAAUCCAUUCUCCAUCGGUUUUUCGCUUUACUUCCAACCCUCCGACAUCAUCCUGAGCAAGGAUGGUUAAGGCUCCGCCAUCCUUGUGGCGACCAACGCCCAGAGCUAGGUGAGGGAUGGGGCAAGGUGGGUAGUGUUUGAGGCGGAUGAAGUUCGUUGAUUCUUCAAAGAAAAGAUUGAAUCUGUUUUCCGGCAAACCUAAACUCAACGAGAUGAGUCCCAAUAGCUUGAAAGCUAAUUUUUCCAUUUCUCUAGCAUACUCUUCACAUACCUCCCUAUAUAAAUCAGUUCAAUUAGAACAAAAAAGAUAAGUAAUUCACUGUAGUUAUUGUGCCUUAGCUGGUGAAAUUUGUACCUUAAUUCAGGAGGGUACUGAGGCCACUGAUUGGUCAGCUCUUUGAGCUCCUUGUCGUCAGGAUCAGGCGAAACAGGGAUCACGGUGGGGGUUGACACCACGAAAUCAAAGACUUCCUUCCAGUCCCUAACGUUCUUGGUAAGCUCCGAAUCAAAAUACCCCAAAGGAUUCACCUCAUCUCUACUCACCUUCCUCUUCUCCUCCAAUGGCAGAGCGAAGAAUUUCCUCGCCGCACCCUCAAUUUUCCGGCGAGACUCCGAGGGCACCCCAUGGUUGAUGACUUGAAAGAAGCCCCAAUUCUUGGAUGCGUCAGCUAUUUGAGAAACAUGGUUGGAAGCAUUGGCGGAAGAGAGAUCAAUGAGGGGGAUGCCUUCAGCUUCGAUAACAGCGAGCUUAGGCCUAUGUUGGGUGUCUUGGAUGAAGGCUGGAUCGACCUCUCCCAUGGCUGUGGUAGUGGUUGGAAGUUAGAAAUGGGGGUUAAGCACUGGUGGCAGCAGGUGUAGAUGGUGACGGGAAAUUGGGCCACACGGCAGGUGGUUUUUGUAGUGUGGUGGGGUUGGUUUAGUACAUUGAACCUGGGCAUAAUUUGGGUUACUUUUUAAGGUUUGGUUGAGGGUGUGACCUCAUGGAUUGCGCAUAUAUUAAUGAUAAUUGGUCAAGUGAUACUGCAGUCCCAAAGGGAAUCUCUCUCAAUGAUUUUGCCGACAGCUCCCUCCACAUUAAAAUGUUUCAUCCGUAUUUGAAUUGGAGUCUAAUGCUCUGAUCAAAGAUACCUUUCGCUUAGUCGAUCAGUGUUUGAUUACUAAAUAAGAUGGUGUCACAAAUAUUUUUGAAUUCUAGGUCAAAGUUAACGAGUGCAAAGGUUAUCAAUUUGAUAAGAUAAAUUGUUUAGAAACACUUUUAAAAAUGAUUCUUGAAAAAAUAUUUUUUUAAGUUUAAAAACCAUUUUUAAAUUUAGAAUAAAGGUUUAUUUAAAAACUUAUAUUAUUAUAAACUUAUUUUUUAUAUUUUUAAAAAAUAAUUUUUAUAUAUAAUAUUUUAUUUUCAAUCAUUUUUUACAUUUUUUUUAAAAAGGUAAAACUACUAAAAAAAAUACUUAAAAUAAGUUAUCAACAAAUGUCUUAUUGUCAUGACAAUUUUCAAAAACAUGUUUUAGAAACAAUUGAAAAUCAAAGUAUUUUCAUAUUCCUUUAUUCCCAAAAACAAAAAAUUAUUCUUGGUAACGGUUCCAAAUGUAUCCUUCAUUUGUUUAUCUUAUUAUAUAAGUUUUAAAAUAAAAUACAAAAAAUAAUUUUCAAUGAUAAUUUGUUACGGUUUUAUCCAAAAUUUUUAUAUUUUUAAUCAAUUAAUUUAUUGAUACGUAUAUUUCUCAUGAGACCUUUUUCUCACUAAAAACAUUACUUUUUUAUAAGACAUUUUUAAUAAAUUAAUUUUGAUACGUAGAUUAAAAAUGUCUUAUAACAAUAUAAAUUAAUUAAAUCAUUAGUUGGCCAUUUGGUCUCAUGCUUACACAACGACUUCUCUCAUGGCUGCCUAACAUGAAUGAACAACUCUCUACAACAAGUAAGGUACACUUAAUUAAAAAAUUAUUUAAUUUAAAGAUGUUCGAGAAUGAGAAUUUCAAGUAGCACUUGAAUGAAUUUAAUGAGACCACAAAUUAAUUAAAUUCGAUGGUUAUUAAAUUUGAUGAUAAGAUUCAAGCCUUAUUAAUCCUCGGUUAAUUGCUUGAGAGUUGGAAAGACACAAUCACCUCAAUCAAUAGUUCAUCCAAAAAAUCAAAAUUGGUGUUUUCGAAUGUAGUAGACAUGAUUAUAACCGAGGAGAUCAAGAAGCAUGAAGAAGGUUUUUCAAAUUCAUGAUCAACAUUAAAUAUGGAGAGCAAAGCUAGAAAUCAUAAUAAAGGUAAUAGGCGUGAUAAAUCCAAAUCGAGGAAUGAUAGGUUGAAAUACAAAAAUUCCAUAAAUUCCUAACAUCAGACGAGUAAGAACAAUAUCAAAUGUUGGAAUUGUGAUUGGAGCUAAAAUAUGUGCUCAAAUGACAUAUAUUUGAUAUGAUUUAUAUAUCAUAAGACACUCAAAUCAUCUGACUCUACCCAAAUUGAUACUAAGGUCCUAGCCAUGAGUUUAACUUGUAUUUUGGAGAUUUAUCUCAGGUUUAAGAAAAGAAAAUGGUGUAAGGUGAAUCAAUUUAGAUUUUGAAAGAAUAAGAAGGGGUUAAAUGAGAAAAUGAACAAGUCAAGACUCAUGAAAUAUGAAGAAAGGAAAGACGAGGAUAUCGUGAGUUUGGGAGAUGAGGAAUGACCAUUAUCAUGAAGUAAGAAAUAAGGCAUACAAACAUAGAAAAUGAGGCAUGAAACAAAAUUCAUCAAGUUUGCAUGGAAAUUUGGGACUCAAAAUCUGGUAAUAACAUAUACUCUGACUUUAAAAUGAAAUUUGGAGCAUUUCCCAAAGUCCAUUUUAGGCAAGCUAUAUAUUGUUUUGAAGCAUGGGAAGUUAGGAAUUCAAAGCUUCAAACAAUGUCCAAAUUAGAGCUAAAUAAGGAAGUUAUGCACAUUUAAAGCAAACUAGUUAGAGAGAAAAACUGAGUUCGAAAUUGGUCACUUGGAUUUGAAAUGGUUUUUGUCCAUUUAAAACUCAAAGAAAUGAAAGAAAACUUUUGGCAUUGGCUAAGUUUGAAUCUCUUUACCUAUUUCAAACAAGAGGCAUACAUUUCAAAGUCAAAUGAACAUACAUGGGCAGUGAGUGAGUUCAAAAUUCACUAUGAAUUUUGAACUCACCUUGUUGAUUUCAAAUUGGACCAUUUAUUUCCCACUUAUGAGUUCAAAAUUGAUUUGAACUCACCCAAAUUUCGAACUCAACCAUUAGUGACCGAUUUUAGGCUCUGAGACAUGUCAAAACGAGUUUCAAAUGCCUUUAUCCAAUUCAAAACGCAUCAUACUCAUUUAGAACUCGUAAUUUUUGGGGUUUUUUUUAAAGGUUAUUUAUGACUUUUCGUUACAAUAAGUGGCCAAUGAGAGUGUACCACAUGUUAGGUCAUUGAAGUUACUAUAAAAACUCUUUUAGUUAUAGUGUUUAGGUGAUCUUCCAAGAGUUAGACAUUUCGUGGGGAAGAAUACGAGAACUUUUGGUUUAUUUAUUUUCUUCUUUAUUGAAUGUAUUGUUUUUAGUUUCCUUUAUUUCAAAUUAUGAAUUUUUACUUUAUUAUGGAUUGUGAAUGUGACAUUACCCCCAUGAGAGGAUAAAAAGCUAACUUGGGGCUUAAACAUAAAAACUAACGGUUAGAAAACUUAUAGGGACAUUAGGUAAAUUAUUAUAACAAUAAGAUUAAUUAAUGGUUGAGUUACAAUUUAUUAAUUUUUUAUCCUAUCAUUGUGAGUUAGUUUAGAGAAUAAUAUAGUAGGUGAUUAUUCGAUACUAGUGAUUCUUGGUAACUCUUGAUCAUUAGUAAUCCUGAUUUUUCUUAUAGUUAUCUGCCCCAAAACGAAGUUAGAAGGAGUAGGAAAUGUUAAAAAGCCAAACCUUAAAUUGAUAAUAAUUUCAUUCAUUUGAUGUGUUGACAAAUCAGAGGGUUGGCUGCAUCCAUCAACUCUCUUUGUGUUCGCCGUGAGCACUUGGGUGAAUGCACUAUAAGGUUAGAGUAUGCACAUUUCUUAACAGCAAUUGCUUUUAGGAGAAUUGGUAGUGCCUGAGGUCCUACAUGAUAGUUUUAAGAACUUGUUUUAAAAAGAAAAAUUAAGUUUUAGAUGUACUUUUGAGUUAUAGGGCUCAAGUUGAUUGCAAGCGGCCAAGAAUCCCAAAACCCUAAGAUCACUCUAGUUAAGAAACCUUUGUUAUCUCUAUUUCUAUACCUUAAGUUAUAUUGUGGAAAACCUCAAACUUAAAUCAAUUAAAUUAAAAAUCAAUAUUCGUUUUGUUAUUAAUUUAGUUUUUUUUUUUUUUUACUUAGUUUCACUUCAUAAAAGUUAAUUCACAUAUUGUUUUUCGCUUUAGGAUUUAAAUAAAAACAAUUCAUUUAUCCUAGUAUUGAAAAAUUCCAUAUGUUAGUCCCUAAGGAUGAUACCCAAAGAAUUACAAAAACCAUAGUGACUAUUUCUCUAGUUUUUUCUUAACCAAAGUUACUAUGUAAAAAGGCUUAGUAUUUUACAUAAGAGAGAAGAUUGAUCAAAUUGUGGAAAGAAGAGACAUUAUAAAAAUGAGUGUAAGGCUGCCAAGAAGGAUAAGGAUGGUGACAACAAGACCAAUGCAAAUGUUGUGUCAAAAGAAUUAGAUGAUGCUCUUAUCUGCUAUUUAGAGAGAACAACAUAAUCGUGGGUAUUAGAUUCAGGGGCAUCGUUCCAUGCUACCUCAAGUGGAGAAUUAUUUGAGAAUUAUGUCUCAGGUAAUCUAGGGAAGAAGUAUCUAGGUGAUGACCAAGCAUGUGUUGUUAUUGGCAUAAGUGAAGUGCAUAUCAAAUAUUUGAAUGGAUUUGUAUGGAAUUUGGACAAUGUGAGGCACAUUUCAAACCUGAGAGAUAAUUUUAUUUCCAUUGGGUAGUUAACAAAAGAUAGUUAUGUGACAACUUUUUUAGGUGACACAUGGAAUAUCUCAAAGGGAGCUAUUUGCCAUGGCAAGAAGAAUGAUACUCUUUACAUGACAAUGAAUGGUUGUGGGUUUAUUACAAUUGUUGAGAGCAAAGAAGAUUCGAAUUUAUGGCAUUAAAGGCUUGGUCACAUGAGCAAUGAGGGGUUGGAAAUUAUACACUCAAAUGGGAAGUUGUCAAGUUUGAAAUAAGUUGACAUUGACAUGUGUGAAAAUUGCAUACUUGGGAAACAAAGAAGGGUUAGCUUUAAGAAAGUUGGAAAAACUCCAAAAGAAGUAAAACUGAAGUUAGUUUAUACAAAUGUUUGGGGACUUGCUUCAAUUUCAUCUAUCGGUAGAAGAUUUUUUUUUGUGACCUUCAUUGAUGAUCAUUUGAGGAAAGUGUGGGUAUACUUUAUGAUACACAAAUGAGAAGUGUUUGAUGUAUUCAAGAGACGGAAAACAAUGGUGGAGAAUAAGACAUGUAUGAGAGUCAAGAAGUUACGGUUUGAUAAUGGUAGGGAGGAUGAAGAAUUUGAGUUCAAGAAGAUCUAUUAUGAAAAUGGAAUUAAAUUAGAGAAGACCGUGCCAAGGACACCUUACCAGAAUGGUAUAGCAUAAUGAAUGAACAAGACAUUGACUGAAAGAGAAAAAAAACGUGUAUACAAGCAAGGUUGUCAAAGGAGUUCUUGGCAAAAGCAAUCAACAAAACAACUUACUUGAUCACAAAAUACUGGAAAAAGUGUGAACUAAAAAAAAGGUAAAGUUUUCUCAUUUGAGGGUAUUUGGUUGUGUAUCAUAUAUAUAUAUAUAUAUGUGUGUGUGUGUGUGUGUGUGUGUGUGUGUGUGUGUGUGUGUGUGUGUAUACAUAUUAGUGAUCAUGACAUAAACAUACUUGAUGCUAAAUCACUAAAAUGUACUUUCUUAGCUAUGGUGUUGAUAAUUUUGGUUAUUAGUUUUGGGAUGACCAGAGUAAGAAAGUGAUUAGAAGUAAGGAUGUCGAUUAGAAGUAAGGAUGUCAUAUUUAAUGAGAAAGUUUUGUAUAUGUAGAGAGAUGCAACACAUUCCAAUAGUCUGGUACAACUUGAACCUAUUUACUUUGAGCCAAAUGAUGUCCCAUUGAAUAACAUGACAAAUAAGACAGGUCAUAAUCAUUAGAUUGAGGAAAAUACUGCAUAAGAUGUUAAUAUAUCACAAGAUCUAGUUUCAAUUCCUACUUUGAGGAGAUCUAACAAGCCACAUGUACCAAAUAGGAAGUAUUUAAAUUAUUUGCUACUAAUAGAUGGAGGUGAACCUAAAUGUUAUGAUGAGGCAUGUCAGAUGGAAGAUAAUAGAAAGUGGGAGCUUACGAUGAAAAAUGAAAUGAAGUCCCUUAUUCUUAACCAGACUUGGAAGCUAGUCGAGUUACCAAUGGGUAAGAAAGUUUUUCAUAAUAAGUGGGUGUAUUAAAUUAAGUAGGAGCAUGGUGGUUCUAAGAGAUAUAAGGCUAGAUUGGUGGUCAAAGGGUUUCAAUAGAAGAAAAAUGAUUGACUAUACAUACAUUUUCUCUCUAGUUGUGAAACUAACUAUUAUUCAAUAUGUUUUGAGUAUUGUAGCAAUAAAGAGUUUACAUAUAGAACGGUUAGAUGUGAAGAUAGCUUUCCUCUAUGGUGAUUUUGAUGGGGAAAUUAGUAUAUAUGCAACAACUAGAGGGUUUUGUAGUGAAGGGUAAAGAGAAUCUGGUGUGCAAAUUAACUAACAGUCUGUAUGAUUUAAAACAAGCCCCAAGACAAUGGUAUAGAAUAUUUGGUAGUUUCAUGCAAAAGAAUAGGCAUCUCAAGUGCAAUGCAGACCAUUGUUGUUACUUUAAGAGAGUUGGUUCUAUCUAUAUUAUUUUGUUACUUUAUGUUGAUGGCAUGUUAGUAGUUGACGCAAAUCUAGAUGAAAUUAACAAGUUGAAGAAAUAGUUGUCUAGUGAAUUUGAAAUGAAGGACUUGGGAGCAACAAAGUAGGUACUUGGGAUGAAGAUUAGCAAAGACAAAUAAACGAGCAUCUUAUGGUUAUCUUAGGCUAAGUAUAUAUACUCAUAAAGUAUUGCAAAUAUUCGACAUGAGUAAUGUAAGGCAAUUAGAACAUCAUUAGCAAAUCAUUUCAGGUUGUCUAAUUAAGCAUUGCCCAUGGGCAGAUGAGGAAAAAGACUUCAUGGCUAAGGUUUCAUAUGCCUUAGCCAUUGGAAGUUUGAUGUAUGUUAUGAUAUGCACGACACUAGACAUUGCCUAUGCAGUGGAAGUUGUGAGCAAAUUUAUGUCAAAUCUAAGUAAGUAGCAUUAUGAAGUAGUGAAAUGGAUGCUUAGGUACUUACAGGGUACUACAAAAAAAUGUCUAUGUUUCGAAAGGGGUGAGUUAAAAUUGCAAGGAUAUGUGGAUGUUGAUUUUGCCAAUGAGAUAGAUAAUUGGAAAAGUACUACAUGGUAUGUGCUCACUUUGGGUACUAUUGCUAUUAGUUUGAUUUCUCAAUUGUAGAAGAUUGUUAUUUUAUCUACAAUUGAAGUAAAAUAUGUGGCUAUCACAGAAGCUAGAAAAGAAAUGAUUUGGCUAUAGAGUUUGUUAGCAAAGUUAGGAUUCAAAUAAGAUAUGAAUGUUUUGCAUAGUAAUGGCCAAAGUGCAAUACAUUUGGCUAAGUAUUCAACAUUUCAUUCAAGAACUAAUUAUAUUACACUUCAUUAUCACUCCAUCAGGUUUUUGCUUGAAGAUAGGGUGUUAACAUUUGUGAAGAUACAAGGUAGCAAGAAUCCGGUUAACAUGUUAACUAAAAUAGUGAUAAUAGAAAAAUUGGAGUUGUGUGCAACUUCAAUUGGUCAAUAAUGAGAAUAGGUUGUUUGAGUGCACCCUCAUACCCAUUAAUCAUUGAAAGAGAAUGUUUACUUGUGUUUUAGUCUUCAAGUGGAAGAUUGUUGGAUUGUGAAGCUUGAAUCAGUUUUAUUAUGCCCCGAUCAACUUGUAGGGAUUGAAGGGCGCAAUGCUCUAUGGAGAAUUUAUUUAUUUAUUUUUAUGUAAUGAUUGACAGGUUUAAUCUUAUUAUAUAUUUUAACCCUUUUAUGUUUUAAGGUUUUGUUUUUUAAUGUGUAGUUGCAAUUGAGAGGUUUUUUGAGAGCUUUGCUAUUCCACUCCUUCUCAUCCCUUUUAUAGUGAAUUGUUGUAUGUUGGUGUACUCCAUUGAUGUAGGGAUCAAAUUGAUCGUAAAACCAUUUUUUUUUUUUUUUUGUUUCUAUUUAUACAUGAGUGUGUGCGUGAUUUGGUUAACAUCAGUUAUCUUAAUAAUUCUAUUCCUGGAAUAGGAAGAAAAUGAUGAUUCCAUUAAUGUAGCAUGCAUUGCUGCUUAUUUAUCAAGCAAAUUACAUUAUUAUUACACCAAACCUCCAAAUUCACCACGUACGUAUCGUAUAUACCGCAUGAUAAGAUUUAGAGAGGUAAAACAAGCGCUUAUUGUUUACGGAUAGAUAAUGUCCCACCGACCUUUUACUCUGAUACCUUGAAAUGAGAAAUUUGGAGGUUUUCCACACCAAGCUUCUUGAGAUUACCGCGCUUUCUCGUAGCGAAGAACUUUCCCCAGUUGUAUGCUCUAUACUUUGGUUUUUCCCCCUUCGUCAGCUCCUCCAAGGGCUGCACCCAAAGAUGGUGCGCGGGAUUGAAAAAGAACGGAAUCGAGAACCUUUCCCUCUCUGAAUUCAGUAUCACUCUGUGCUCCACACUCUCAUAAGUUUCGUUGCUCCAAACCUGGUUUAAUAUCAGUAUAAUUAGCCAAAUAGGUGCAAAAUUCGGUGAGCGAAAUAACUGAUAAGCAGGUGCUUAUAAUUCAAAGUUCUUGGGUGGUACCUGAAUUAUAUCCCCAACAUUGAUGAUUUAAGCAUCUGGGGUGGGCUUCACUCGAACCCAUUCUCCGUCGGUUUUUCGCUUUACUUCCAACCCUCCGACAUCAUCCUGGGCAAGGAUGGUUAAGGCUCCGGCAUCCUUGUGGUGACCAACGCCCAGAGCUAGGUGAGGGACAGGGCAAGGUGGGUAGUGAUUGAAGCGGACGAAGCUCGUUGAUUCUUCAAAGAAAAGAUUGAAUCUGUUUUCUGGCAAACCUAAGCUCAGAGAGAUGAGUCCCAUCAGCUUGAAAGCUAGUUUUUCCGUUUCUCUCGCAUAUUCUUCACAGACCUCCCUGUAUAAAUCAGUUCAAUUAGAACAAAACAAACUAAGUAAUUUACUGUAGUGACUGUGCCUUAGCUGGUGAAAUUUGUACCUUAAUUCAGGAGGGUACUGAGGCCACCGAUUGGUCAGCUCUAUGAGCUCCUUGUCCUCAGGAUCAUCCGAAGCAGGGCCGAAGGCGGGGGUUCUCACCACGAAAUCAAAGACUUCUUUCCAGUCCCUAACGUUCUUGGUAUGCUCAGUAUCAAAGUACCCAAAAGGAUUCACCUCAUCUCUACUCACCUUCCUCUUCUCCUCCACUGGCAGAGCGAAGAACGUCCUCGCGGCAUCCCAAAUUUUCCGGCGAGACUCCAAGGGCACCCCAUGGUUGAUGACUUGAAAAAAGCCCCAGUUCUUGCAUGCAUCAGCUAUUUGAGAAACAUGAUUGGAAGCAUUGGCGGAAGAGAGAUCAAUGAGGGGGAUGCCUUCAGCUUCGAUAACAGCGAGCUUAGGCCUAUGUUGGGCGUCUUGGAUGAAGGCUGGAUUGACCUCUCCCAUGGCUGUGGUAGUGAUUAGAACUUAGAAAUGGCAAUUAUGCUCUGGUAGCUGCAGGUGAAGAUGGUUACAGGACUUGGGCAACUCGGCAGGUGGUUUUUAUAGCAUAAUAGGGGUGUUGGUUUAAUACCUUGAACCUGGACAUAAUAUGGGUUACGUGUUAAGUUUUAGUUCGGGGUGUGAGCUCAUGGGUUGCGCAUAUGUUAAUGAGAUUUGGUCAAGUGAUACCUAGCUAUUUCCACGGCACCCUCAAUAUUCAAAUAUUUCAUCCGUACUCGAUUUGGAAGGUUGAUUAGUAAAUCUGAUGGUGUAAUGUCUAUUUUUGAAUUCAAUGCUAUAUAUUUAACGGUGAAGAUAAGAAAAAUAGAAGAGUUGAUAACGUUGAAGAAAAAAUGCCAAAGUUUUAAGAAGGUAGAGUUUUGAUGAGAAAUAGGUAAAAUUAAAAUUGCAUUAUAAUAAUAUAAAUUAAUUAAAUCGGUAAUCACCCAUUUAAUCUCAUUCUUAUCCACAAUUGUUGAUAGUUGAUCCUACAAAAUUCUAAAAAAAUCUUCCACAAAGACAAAUCACAAGAUGUUCAAUAACAUAUAUGCUUUUGCACCAAAAAUUGUAUAAGGGAAAAAAAAAUGAUGCACAAAAAAAAAAAAAAAAAAAUUCUAUAUCUAAUAUUAUUUCAUAGGAAAACUAACUAUAAUAAAUUUUAAAAGCAAAGAGCGUUUUACCAUAUCUAAAUAAUAGAUUAUUAAAUUCUUUAUUUUUCAAUUGGAUAUUUUUUUUUAAAUUAGAAACAUCUAUAUAAAAAUAAAAAUCACUUUAAAAAAAUUUUAAAUUUAAGAUAAUAAAUUUUUUAUAAUAUUUUAAUUCUUUUAAAUAAUUUUUAAAAUUAUUAUUUUUUCAAUAUAAAAUUUUAAGAGUUUUUGUAUUUUAUAUAUAAGUUACUAAUAUUCUCUUAUUUUAAACAUAGAAAAUAAAAAAUGUAACCAAAUGAAUUAGAAAAUAAAAAAGUUGAAUAAAAAUAGUCUAACCAUCUUAAACCUAAUAAUGUUUGACAGAAAACACUUAAAUAUACCUUGUAAUUUUCCUCACUGGUCAGCUCCUCCGAAGGCUUCACAUUCACAUGGUGCGCCAGUAAGAAGAAGAAUGGAAUCGAAACCCUUUCCUUCUUGUGUCGACCCACACUGAGAGCGAGCUCCAGCCACGAGCACGAUGGAUGGUGAUUGAGUCGGAUGAAGCAUUAGCCUUCAAAGAAUUCAUUCAACCGAUCCCCCACCAAGCCUAAGCUUAAGGAGAUGAGUUCCAAGAACUUGUAAGCUAAUUUUUCUAUUUCUCUAAUAUAGUUUUUCCAAAUUUUCCUGAAAAUAAAUCAUUAUAUAAAAUAUAUCAAUACUCAAAAUAAAUUUAAUAAAAUCUUGUCUUGCCUUUAUGUCUCUAGUUGAGUCUGUUUGGCUUCAAGCUGUGCAUUUAUGUCUCCGGUUGAGUUUGUUAGGCUUUGAGUCGCACCUUUACACCUCUAGUUGAAUAUGUUCGACUUUGAGCCAUGCCUUUACGUUUUGAGUUGAGUCUAUUCGGCUUUGAGCCACGCCUUUACAUUUUAGUUGAAUCUGUUCGAUUUCAAGCCGUGCAUUUACAUCUAUAAUUGAGUCUAUUCAGCUUCAAAUUGCAUCUUCACAUUUUUUGUUGAAUCUGUUCAGCUUCAAGCCACUCCUUUAUGUCUCUAAUUAAAUUUGUUUGGCUUUAAGUUUCACCUUUAUGCCUUUAAUUGAGUUUGUUCGGCUUUUAGUUGCGCUUUUACGUUUUGAGUUGAGACUAUUUGGCAUCGAGUUGCAACUUUAUGUUUCAAGUUGAAUUUGUUUAGCUUCAAAUCGUGCCUUUACAUCUCUAGUUGAGUUUGUUCGACUUCAAGUCAUGCCUUUAAGUCUCUAGUUGAGUUUUUUUAGCUUUGAGCUGCGCCUCUACAUCUCUAGUUGAAUUUGUUUGGCUUCGUAUCACAUCUUAUGUUUCGAAUUGAGUUUAUUCGACUUCGAGUUGUGCCUUUAUGUUUCUAGUUGAGUCUAUUCAGCUUCAAGCUGCACCUUUACUUUUUGAAUUGAGUUUGUUCGGCUAUGAGCAAUGCUUUUACAUUUCAAGUUAAGUCUGUUUGGCUUUGAGUUAAGCCUUUACGUCUCUAGUUAAGUCUAUUCAACUUCGAGCCGCAUCUUUCAUUUUUGAGUUGAGUGUGUUUGGCUUUGAACCACACCUCUAUGUUUCAAAUUAAGUCUAUUCAUCUUCAAGUCGCACUUUUAUGUCUUUAGUUAAGUUUGUUCAGCUUCGAGCAAUGCCUUUAGGUUUGAAGUUGAGCCUAUUUGACUUCAAGCCACACCUUUACAUCUCUAGUAGAGUUUGUUUGGCUUCAAGCUAUGCCUUUUUGUUUCGAGUUUAGUCUGUUCAGUUUUGAGCCAUGCCCUUACGUUUCAAGUUAAGCCUAUCCGGCUUCAAGUCGCGUCUUUACAUUUUGAGUUAAGACUAUUCGACUUCAAGCUAUGUCUUUACAUCUUUAGUUGAGUUUGUUCAACUUCAAGCUACGCCUUUACGUUUUGAGUUAAGUCUAUUCGGUUUCAAGUUGUGUCUUUAUGUUUUGAGUUGAGUCUGUUUGGCUUUAAGUCACACUUUUACGUUUUGAGUUGAGUCUCUUCAACUUUGAACUACACCUUUAUAUAUCCAGUUGAGUCUGUUCGAAUUUGAGUCACACCUUUGAGUUUUGAGUUUAGUCUGUUCGGCUUUGAGCCACACUUUUACAUCUCUUGUUGAGUCAUAUUUAGCUUCAUUCUACGCCUUUACAUUUCCAAUUGAGUUUAUUUAGCUUUGAGUUGUGCCUAUGUUUUAAAGUUUGUUCAAUUUCGAGCCACAUCUUUAGCCUUAUUAAGUUUGUUCAAGUUUAGUUGUGCCCUCACCCAUAUCCUUAGUUUUAAGUUUAUUCAGCUUCAAGCCAUGCGUUUGUCCUUGUUAAGUAAGUUCGGCUUCGAGCCACGUCUUAGUUUUGAAGUUGUUUAUCCUUGAGCCACACCUUCCUUUCUUUUUUAGUUCACUUAGGGUUUUCUCCUUCCUCGAGUUUAUUAGUGCAUUCGAGUUCAUUUUUCUUUAAGUUGAUCACUCUUUAUCUUUGUUGUCCUUGAAUUGUUCAUUGUGUCACAAUUCAGUGUUUUUCAUUGCAUAUAUACUCCCCACAUUGUCUAUAUUUUAUCCUGAUGAGUUUCUUUCCCAAUACGUGACCUCGAUCUUUGAGUUUAGCAUGCCAUGUGCUAAGACAAUUUCGAGUGCUCUUUUGUUCUUCAAUGCAAUUCACUUCAUACCAUUCAUCACUCAUGUUUCACUGUUUGUGUUCAUUUCAUUCGUGAUCUACAUCGGAGAGAGACAUAUUUGUUGGCCCUUUACUUUGUCCUAUAAUACAUAUUUUCACAUUUUUUUAUUUUCCUCUUGCCCCAUACUCAUUUUUGGUGCUCGUUUUGGAUCCUUCUUGUUUGAUCAUUCAUGGUCCCUUAUUGGUCCACGUUUACUUGACUCAUUAUUCAUUUUUUAGUCGCAUUUUAGAGGCCAUGUAGGAGGAAUUUUGAGUACAUGCAAGCUUAUUUUUUAGAGACCCUUAGUAGUUGGCUCAUAUGAGGACACGCCUCCUCACACUACUACAAAAAUCAUUUAUGGUGUCACUAUUUAUAGUGACACUUUUAAAAUAAUGACACCAUAUAGCUUAAAAUCCACAAAGGUGACACAUCAUAUAAAAAUUUUCAAUUAGGAUCAAUGAUAUUAAUUUUAGGUUUAUAAUGUCAGUUGCCAAAAAAUGACACCAUAUAAAAUAUUUUUUUUCUAAAUAUUAUAACUCAAUUGGCCCACUUUGAGAAUAAUGAUAGUAUAUAAAAAAAUCAUUGUUUCCACAUACCCACAAUCCAAAAAAAUUUCAUUCCAUAACCCUAACCAAAAUUUUUUUCUACCUCUUCUCACACCCAUAGUUAACACACAACUGUUCUUCUCUGCUUUGUGGACUCUCAGGUAACCCAAAAUCUCUUAGAUCUAUCAUUUUCAUUUAUUUUUUUAUUAAUGUCAAAAUCUUUAUGAACACAAUUGAUUUAUGUUUAUUGAUUUAAUAUAUUUGUAAUAUGGAUUGUGUAAAUAGUGUUUUUUUAUUGAGUUGUAGGAAAGUAAAAACUAGGUUUAACAUUCCACCAUAUCUUCUGGUUCAUUGUUAAACCCAUAAACCCCAAAAUGAAUGAAAAUAAGAAAAAUGAAUUAUUUUUAAAUAUCUUUUAUACUCAAGAUAAUAUAUAAACAUUUUACAAUACAAAAUUUUUUUUUGAUCUUGUAGGAAAUUUCCUUUGAUAGGAUUUUCUGUUUGUUUUCAAGGAAUAUUGUAGUAUAUUGUGAUGAAGAUAUUGAUUGGUGUUAUUUGAAAAAUAAUUUUUUAGAAAAUUAUUCUCAAUAUUAUCAUCUCCCACAAAAUGAAAAAUGAAAUAGUUUUCAUAUCAUAUUGGAGUCGGUUUGGAAUGUUGGAAUUAACAAUGAGAAAUUAAUUUUAUUUUUUAUUUAUUAAUGUAAAUGAAUUGUUUUUUUUUUAAAUUUAAAUAGGAAUGAAAAUUUUUAUAAUUAUAAAAAUGAUCAAAUAUUAUAUUUUGAUUUUUUUUUCUAUUCUUUUACAUGGUAUUAUGGUUAAUAUCUCAUCUUGUUCUAUAUAUAUUUUUUAUAUUCUUAAAAUAUGUUUUUUGCUUUUUGUUUUUACUUUCUUUUCUUAUUGUUUUUAUAUGUGUUGACCAAAAUUUAGAGUAAUUUGAGAUUGGCGAUAAAAUUUUCCUUUCAAGGUUAGAAAAUUUCUAUAAAAUCAUUUUAUUACAUAAUUUUUUCAAUUCCUUCCAUAAAACUCUUCCUUUUUCCUUUUUUAAGAAGAUGUUUGAUAAUUUUCUUUUGAUUUCUAUGAAAUUUCCUUUUAUUGGACUGUUUGUUUAUUUUCUAAGAAUAUUAUAGUAUGUUAUGAUGAGGAUAUUGGUUGGUGAUAUUUGAAAAUUAAUUUUUGAGAAAAUUAUUCUCAAUAUUGUCAUCUGCCACAAAAGGAUUUUAAAAGUAUGUUUUAUUUUUGCCUUCUUUUCUUAUUGUUUUUAUAUGCAUUGACCAAACUUUGGAGUAAUUUGAGAUUGAUGAUGAAAUUUUCCUUUCAAGGCUAGGAAAUUUCUAUAAAAUCCUUUUAUUACAAUUUUUUUUUUUUUCCUAUUCCUUCCAUAAAACUCUUCCUUUUCUUCAUUUUUCUUUUUUGAUGUUUGAUAAUUUAUUGAUCUAAAGAAUAUUAAAAGUAAAAAAUUUAAAAUAUUGAAUAUUUUUUCCUUUGAUGUUGUUAUUUUAUUAUUAUUUUUAUUUGAACAUAUUUUUCAUAUCCAAAUUUUCUAUUAAUUAUUUUACUUUUAAAAAAAAUAUCAAUUGAAGUUAUGACUGAAAAAUCAAUAAUUUUUAUGAAAGGUUCUUUAAUUCUUUCUCAUACUAAUUUUUCUCUUAACAUUUCUUAAUAGUGAAUUAGGUUUUUUUGUUUUAUAUACACAAUUUUCAUGCUUGUUAUAAUAUCAUGUCCUAUCAUAUUAGUAGUUGAAAACAUUUUUAUAUUUUGUUACUAAAAUUUUAUUUUAUAUAAUUUACAUGAAUUUUAAUGGACAUUGUUAUUUCACAAAAUGAACAUUAAAAAAAAUAUUGAAAUUAAGAAAAUCCUUCCAAGAAAUAAAAAAAUAUAAAAAGAAUUGGAUGUUAAAAAUGAUUUUUAAAAGCAUUAUGAAUUAUAAAAAAUAAAUUUAAAAGAUUAGUAUUUUCUAAAAUUUUAGAUUUAUAUUUUGAUUUUGUAGUUUUGAUUUAUUUCAUAUUUUCUUGAAUUGUUUUUAUUUGAGUUCAAAUGUGACUACUUUGUUAUGAGAUUCAUUAAAAGGAUAAUUGUUGAUUCUACAGUUAUUGCAUUAAAGGUUUUACUCAUUUAAUGAAUUGUACAUAGUUUCAUACUUCUAAUUAUUGUGAUAUUAAUGUUAUUUUCAUUUGAUUUUAGUUUGAUGACAAAAAACAUAUUCUCAAGUAGACUUUGAUGAAAUAAGAGGAGAAUGGAUUGCUUUUGUGUUAUAACUAAUCAUGAAUCAUGUUGAUGUAUCGUGAUCAUGCAUGGUGAGUCCCUUAGUUGUUAUAUAAAUUUUCCAUUGGUAUUGUAUAACAUUACUUAUUCUUUAUGAACUAUUUUUAUAUCAAAAUAGGAAAAAGAAAAAAGGAAACAUUAGUACUUAGAUUUGUUUAUUUUUUUAUAACAUCACUAUGGACCCCGCAUUUUCGGCUCGAUGCGUUUCCCACUCGAUGGCGAGCUCGAUUUUUAAUUUUGAAAAAUGAUUUUUAUUCAUUAAAAAUGACUUGGAGUCGCCACUUAUUUUUGUUUUAUUUUUAAAGGGUAAACAAAAUAAGAAAAAAAAACCCUAAGUGUGACUCCUUAUUUUAGAAAAGGCGAUCUACGAAAAAACCGGAUUGGGCUCGGGGGUUAGGUUACUUAUCGGGAAGGUACGGUAAAGACCGUAGCACCCCUCUAAGUCCCUAAAAUCGGGUCUUUACUAAUAGAAUGAAGCUGACGUGGCAGUCAACAAGAAAAUCGAUGAAUAGUCAAAUCAAUCAUGCACAAUAUGAGAAGCAAAACAUGUAUAAAGAAUGAGCGAAAUAUGAAUAGAUGCGUACCUGGACGGCAAUCACGAACGCGCUAUCAUGAAACAUGGUUAGUGAACAAUGAACAGAUAUAAUUAAGCGCAUAUCAAGGAAUAGAGUAAAUCAAUCAUGCAUAGCAAAUAAAUAAAUCAAUUAGUUAAUCGAUUAUAAAUCACAUAUGUGGGGCCCCACCAAAGUCCAUUUAUUUUGCAUGAUUUAAUUCCAAUAACUCCAUUACUUGGAAUUACGGAAAUGAAUUCUUGCUUAUUUUAAAACGUUUUAAAACGAAGGAGAUGUGGAAAUUAUUUGCUAGAAGGAAAGAUGACAACAAAAUUUUAUUGGAAAUGAGAUUUUUGAGUGAUCCUAAAAAUUCUAAAGAUGAAAAUUUGAAAAAUAAAUAAAUAAAUAAGAAUAAAAUAAAAUUAUUUGAAAAUCUAGAAAUUGGAAACUAUUUGAAAACGGGAAAUUUGGAAAUUAAUUUAAAAUUGAAGAUAAAGAAAUAAAUAGAUAAAUAAAAAAAUAAAUAAAGGACACGUGACUCAAAAUGUGGUCAUGCAUAGUUGCUUGUAAAUUGGACAGCCAGUUGCUUCUCAUACUCUCAGCGUCAAGAUGUUCCUUGAUGUAGUUGCCCCAUGUGUCAUCCUUAGCCGUGAUAAUGCAUGUGUUUUCAUCCCAAUUAAAGUCACUUUGAUCAAGAAGUGCCUUGAUAGUGACAUAUUGCAUCCUCAAGACAUCAUACCGAUUCCUCAGUUGGUCCUUAUCCAUGGAUUCCCGCGAAAUAAAUCUGUUACCAGAACAUUGUAACCAUUGCAUGCAACGCGAUAUGCGGAGUCCCUUGUGGAUGAAUUUUCGAAGCCAAAGGCAUCAAACAAGAGCAGUAUCCCUGCCAACUGCGUGUUCAUCCAGCCGCUCAAUCACGCCACUAACAUGGGCACAGCGGAAAGCAUCAACACAACCUUAAUUCCUCUCUUGUAGCUGUUUAGCAGAUCCAAGUCUGUACAAGACUUGAUCUAUGGCAACGUCAUGAGGAUAUAGCCGCGGGGUAGCAUAUGAAUCCAAUCAAUGGGAAAUGGGCAUUAGGAAUGGUGGUCAGGCUUUGCAUGAUUUCAUACACGUGAAUGAGUGAUGCUGGGACCUUCAUGGAGGCUUUGAGUGGAUCUUUGGGCGGCGGUGUAGAAAGAGAAAGGUAGCAGGAAGAAAAGAAUGGGUGUGGGCUUGGUGGUAUGAAACGUGUGGUGUUAAAGAGGAAUGUGGCGUACAUGAGGAAAGACAUGGUGAGUGGAAUGAGCUAUGGGCAUGAGAGAAAUAGAGAAAAUGGGUAUGAAGGUUAAUGAGAGAGAACGGGCGUGUGAGGGUGGUAAAGGAAAAUGGAUGAUGGAUGCACAUAGGUGGAAAUGGGAAUGGAUUUGAUAAAGCAUGAAGGUAGGAAUGGGAUUCGGGUGAUAUUAGAUUACCAUGCAUGGAGAAUGUAUACGUGGAGGUCUAUUAUGCAAAGGAACUAAAAACGGGUCAAGUGAAGGGCUGUUUAGGGAAUAUGGCAUCAGUUUCAGGUUGAGGGGAUGGGGCCCUUGGGCCAUUUGGCUACCCACAAGUAUGAUCUACAAAAUAGGGUCCUUAUGUCAGGGUCAACUUUCGGAUUUUUGCAAAGCUGAUGCUACCAAUUUAAACUCUGAUCAAUCAGUGUCCGCGAUCUUGAGUCCUUCAAGCUGAUGCAACGCGUCUUUAGGAAGGUAGAGCCUCCAAUGAAUACUUUAGAUUUCGAUUUUUGAACAAUCAUGGCAGAACCCUUCAUCGAUUGGCAUUAUCAUUACCCUGGGAUUGCAGCAAGAUGCAUGGAAGGCUUCUUCACUAUUAUCACAAAUGAGCAUAUACAAUAUAUUUUCUGAAUGACCACACGAUUUACAUGGUUGGGAUGAGUUGCUAUUCCCACUAACUCCCAGAACUUCAAGAAGCUCCUGACUCCUCAGUAUAGAAAUGCGUGUAAUCAUUACCCUCUUGUUUGGCAUGACCUGUGCAUACCCAAGAAUGACACCUACUAACCAACCAAUUGAUCCUUAUUGCAUUUAGAACUCAUCUGCAUCCCCUAGUCAAUUUCAGUUUCUGACAGUUAAACCAAAAAUCCCCAGUCUCAGCAAUGACAGUAGUCUCACUUGACAACAUUUUCUGUAUAUGCUGGAACAGAACAUAAACCCUCAAAGGCUCCUCGGGAUCAGACGUAGGAGACUGUCCCUCAGGAACGUAAACUCUAUGGUAGAACUCAUAGGCAGUGAUAUUGCAUUCGAGCCUCUUGGAGAAUGACUUGAAGAAAUCUUUCAUCAAAAUGCACCCAAGCUCAAGCCCAUAAGCACACCAAACACCAUUAUUGGGUUCGUUACAUCACCAUGCUACGGAGUUUAUACAACAGGAAGCUCUAACUGAUGAUGGUUCUGGUAGUGAUUUGCCAAUGGGAACUUGGCCAUCAAGUGAACCCGAUAUCAGAAGCUGAAGUUAUUACCUUGUACUCUUCUAUUCCCCCAUUAUCAGCAAUUCCAAUGGAAACAGUAGGAGAGCCUCAAGACUGUGUAUCCAUUCAAUAACUCUGUUUCUCAGUCAGGAUGCAAAAAACUCCCCAAUGAUUCUACAGCUGCAACCACAGGAGCCCCACUACUACCAGUUCCUUCACCCAUUCUGACAGCAACCAAAACCAGACCAAUGACUUGAACUUUAGACUUCCCCAAUCCAUUAAAUCCAGAAACCACUUGGAGUUAGAAACAUUUUCUACCUCAUCCUAGAACUUUCAGGUAUUUUACAAAGUAAUGGUCGGUAUUUUUCAAAAGCAAAAAGAAAAAAAGGUAAGACUCAAGAAACAGAGCAAACUCAGAAUUCGUUAAUCAAGACUCCAUCUCAUGCUGCACUCAAUGGAUCUAAACAGGUGAGACAAGCAGGGAGCAGUGGCAUGAUUAAUCAAUCUCAAAAAUAAUCCAUAUAUCGGUUAUUGACAGGAAAAAACAAAGAAAGCAGAAAAGAACCCAAACAGAGCAAAUACAAAAACAAACUCAAAUUCAGCAAAUCAAUCCACAAUCAAGAAAAACUAACAAUGCUCAAGUAGCCUGAGAAAAAUGAUGAAGAACAGUGAUAAUGAAAAAUACCCUAAAAAAAAGAACACGAUACUUCAUACCUGUGAAACUCCUCUCCGAUGAAGCUCACCUACCAAACCAAUCUGCUCCCAUCCUUGGCACUAGAACCCCUCUCCGUAGCAGCCUAAGCUCAAGGAAAUCCCUCUCCAGACCGAUCUCUUCUUUCUUCUCAAGUUCUUUUCUCCUCCUCUCAAAAUAUCUCUCCCUGAAAAACGGCAGCCAAAACCUCCCUCUGCAGCUGGCCUGCCCCCGUAACAGAAUACCCCCCUCUAGCUUUCUCACUACCCUCAAAAGCACCCUCUCUCUCCUGCAGCUGCAAGCCUCCACUACCCCCAUGCAGCUGGCAGCCUCUACUCCUCUAACGGCCAGCAGAUUCUCCUUCUAGAAAAUUCUUUCCCUUUUCCAGGUGUCUUUCCCUGAUUGGCCCAUCAAUUCCACUAUAGUGAUUCUACAGUGACCAAUCCUAAGAAGGCACGUGGCCUUAUGAGAUUGCGACACUUGGCAAACACAGGCUGCCAAAAAGUGAGCCCCCAAAUGGGGGUCUACAAUCACAUUUUUAUUUUCAAUAAGAACUCUAAAACUCAUUAAACUAUAAAAUGCAGAUAUACACUCUUGAGAGGACAAUAUGAAGAAUAAAAAGAAAUAAGAAAGAAGCAACAAGAUUUGGAUUUUUAGAUGUGACUCUUAUGUCAUACAUUAUACGACAUAAAUGUUAUUUUAUUUGGAAUUGAGAAUUGUGGGUUUUUUUAUGCAACUCUUGUGUCAUUUGGUUAGCCGGUUUUAUGCAUAUGAAACGUAAGUAUACAUGAAUGUUGGGAUGCUUAACAUUUCUAAAUCAUGUUUUAAUGUGUAUUCACUUUUCUUUUUUAGUUUUGGUGGGUUUGAUAUACUAUGUUUUGUGAACAUUUGAUAUACAAAUAUUAGUGGAUGAUGUAAUGUAUUAUAGGUUAAUCCAUAAGCAUAAAGAAAAUAUAAGUUAAAUGUAAUAUGAUUAUUAUAUUUAUGGACAAAAUUUACACACGUUGAUCUUAUUUAUUAAUAAGCAUUACAAAAAUCUAUAGGCUAGUCAACAAAAAACAACCAUAUCUUCUAUAAUCAUUUACAAUGAAGUGACACCAUAAUUCAAAGGUGAUGCAUUUAACGUGACAUCAUAACUCAAAGGUGAUGCAUUUAAUAUGACACCUUAUAUAUCUCACAUAACUCUAUAUCAAAUUAAGCAUCACUAAAAAUAUAUGGUGUCGCUUCUAAAUGCGUCACAAUUUAUCUGUUUUGGUGUCGCUUCCAAAUACGUCACCAAUUGGUACCCUCUAUGGUAUUGGUGGAUAAGGUGACGCUAUGUUGUAGCGACACCCUAUGUUUAGGGUGACUCGUUAUAAAUGUCACCAUAUAUGUUUUUCCUUGUAGUGUCAUUGGGAAGGUUUUUUCCAUUUUUUAGAGGGGUUUUCUAAAGGCUUCUAGGGUGAGGACACUGUUCUCAUAUUGGCUUUUUUUCCCCCUUUUUAGAGGGGUCUUCUAAAGGCUUCUAAGGUCAACUAGGAGAGCAUGUUGAUUGAUGCUUUGAUAUGGAUACCAGAUGCCACAUUUCAUCUUGUUGAACACUGGUUAGCUAUGGACUUGUUACUGCUUUACUCUUCUGUUUCGAGUUAACUUUGGAAAUGAAUCUGAAUAUAGACUAGUAUUUGCAUCUUGAUGUUUAGAGAAUCAUAUUUUAGUUGUUGUUUAAAAUUCAUUUUGGCAUGUUCGAUUGCUUCAAGCUCAUUUAUACAAUAAUGAAAUGGAGAUUUAUAUAUUUGUUAUUGGGUUGGCUCUCUGUUUGGUUAUCUUUAAGUUCUGCAUCUUUUCUUUUCUCGUUGCCUUAUCUUCUCUGGGGGGUGUCGUUUGAGAAAUACAUAGUGGAAAAAAUGGGAAGCUGAAGGCUUAUCCUGGCAUCGACCUCGCGUUAGGGAACGACUUGAUCGAAGAACAUAUGAAUUUUUCAAAUACCCAGAACUCACAUCAAAAGAAGCAUCGGAGUCAAGGUCAAACACAUCAUCUGACAAGGAAUAUACCUUUGCCUUUGGUGACUUUAUUGACUUCUGCAUGAUGGACAUCCGAGGGUGGGGACUGGAAGAGAAAUGAUGAAUUUGCCCAAGAUAGUUUGUCUAGAAAGGAACUUGUAUUAAAUGAUGAUUACCCACUAUGUCAGAUGUUGAAAUUUGGGUAUGACAACUCCUGGUGGCAUCAGAAAGAUGAGUUGCACAAUCCUUCUCACAGUUGAAAGCUUGACCUCCGAAGUUGGGCUUUUUCAUGGCCAGACAAGAACAGUGAUCACAAUAGUAUGAGCCAAGCCUGUCACGACCCAAAUUCUAGGUGAACUUAACCAUGACUCCAAAUCAAAGGUUUAAACUUAAAGGUUACAUCUAUUCAAUCUAGUAGUCAAUCCUGAUAACUUGAUUUUUUUUUCUUGAUAAAACAAUAUCUAAUCCCAAAUCAAUUUAUUAAGCUAAUAACUUGAUUUUUUUUCUCAAUAAAACAACAUCUAGUCCCAAAUUAAUUUAUUAAGCUAAGAUUUACUAUAUCAUAUUAUUUGAUUUUAUUUUUCAAAAAUCAACCAUUACACUAUCACUUAUUUGCAAGUAUAAUAAAUCUGUCAAACAUCUUAUCACCCAAAAUGAUAACCCAAAUAUUUACAAAAAAAAGUUUUACAAAUUAAUAAAAUAUAGUCUAAGUUAUAAAAGUUCUUAUAAAUUAAAUUAGUAUGUGCUAAAAUAUAAGAUAACUGAAAAAAAAAAAAAAAAAAAAAAAACCAUUAUUAUUAUGGUUCCUUAAAAACUAUAUUUGCAUCUAAAAAUUUUAGAAAAUAAAGGGAUGGACAUUUCCACAUUACUUAGUAAGGUAUUUUACACCCACACAAAUUAGAAAUUCUAAGUCAAUAAAACACAAUCAUAUAUCAAAGUGUAAUUUUACAUCUAAUGUACUACAACUAUAUACAUUUAAACUAAUCAAAAUUAUCACUAACCAUAAUCAGACUCCAAAUAAUACAAAUAACAUUUAUUAUCUCCCAAAAACAUAAUGUGUAAUUUUGUUUCCAAAGAAAAAUAUAAAAUAAAAGUUUUAGGGUUAAACCACCCUACAUCAAAUUUGAAAAUCUAAUUGUUAAAACUAAAAUCAGACUCCGUAAAAAUGUUCUUUAUGUUAAAUAGAGUGUUUUGCUAAAAUCUCAUGCAAAACAGAAUUCAUUUGGCUUGUCGGAUGACAACCCAAAUAUUUGUUGCACCUUCCUUGUUUCUUCUCUUCCUUUGUGUUUCCGUUUGCACUCUUCUCUCUACGGAUCUGGUAAAUAGGGUAGCCCCUGGUACGCUUGGGGCUGGAUUGAAUCCUAUUCGAACUAUAUCUAACUUGAUCUUGUCCAAGCUAGGAAGGUUUUUGGUCUCGAUGACAUUGGAAGUUUCAUCAUUGCUAAAGAAAGGGGCGGCCAAAAAGGCUUAGCGACGACCCUCUCUCGACUUAAAGGAAACGACUUGUCCCAUCCAAUGCCCUACUUUUAAGUGCUCGGUAUGUUCACUUAAUCAAAUCUAGAAGAAGCUUGGCCUCUGUAGAGCAUGAAAAGGCUAGUUUUGAAGCUUUUAAUCGAGGACUUAUUUGCCCUAAAGCCUGACUUCUUAGGAAGAGAAAUGGGCUUGACUUCUUCAUCAACCUCGGAAUCGCAUUCUAUCACACUGGUGGUACUUCUUGUUGAAUUAAAAGAUUGGAUGAGUCUUUUUGUACCCACCCGCCACCCCUGUUUGAGAGUGAUUAAAUAUCAUAACUUCCUUAAUGGACCUACGGACUAGCUAAGGUUUACUUACAUAGUUGUUCUUUCUUUUCUCAAUUUCAAGUUAAAGUUAGCGUUUUUCAGCUUACUGUUUGCUUUGGUUGAGUAGCCGCCUUAUGACCCUUUGCUUUUGAAUGAAAUCAUCUAGAACCUCUCAGAUCGGAUUCCAAUCACCUUAGUGAGUCUCCUAGGUGCGAAGCCAUUCUUUAAGCCCAAAACAAAAGGAGAAGUGAAGUCACUAUCUAGACAAAGGGGCUUGCCUACUUAUAAGGUAGGAGUUCACACCGGGGAAUCGCUUUCUUAAUUAAUUAAAAGCGAGCCAAACUCACCACCUCAUGUACCAAAGUCAAACGGUUGUUCUUCCUUCCCCGCUCCCUUUUUCUCUACAUAUGUGAUGGCGGGCAGAGCGCUCUAUAUGACCGGUGGUGGGUUACCAGAGAAGAUGGGACAACUUCUUUCUCUCUUGCCUUGCUCAAUCUUCCUUUUCUGAUUGAAAGUAGCAAGCCACACCACUACUGGUACAGAGGUCGGAUAGAAGGUUGCUUUUUCUAUAUGUUCAGGCGAAGAACAUCUACGGCACAGUCUUCGCCAAGCAAGAUGAUGUAACUCCUCAAAACAUAAAAAGAGCUCUUAUAUAUGUAAAAACAUGAUAUAUGUGUAAAUGAAUUAUAGCCAUUUUCAAAUAGAUCAGGAUCGUCAGAUGUUUGAAAUGGAAAGUCAAUUUUUCUAUAUGCAUGUAGAUAUCUAUAGGGGAUUAUAUGAAGGGGAUGUUAUUAUUUUAGAUAUAAUCAAUUCCCUUCUCGGAGCCCACUAAGAUCCGGAUCUCCUACGGAAAUGAUUUAGAAGAUCCAAAACCAAAAAUAGUGGUAUUUGCUAGCAACAACAUAAUGGAGGCAGUCAAUCAAUAUAUAUUGAUCUAAAAUCUGAUUCAAAUCCAAUAUAGCACCUAUGGGUACAUAAAAGAAAGGCAAGAGAGAAAAGAAGUCCAUACUUUUCAACAAAGCUUUAAGUGAGUAGGGGUGUAGCAGAUUCAUGCACGUCGAAUAUAAAUGCAGUUGGAUGAGUAGUCGCGGAUUCACAAUGCCGGUUAAAAAGCCAAUCUUAGGGUUGCAUUCACUCCCCUUCUAUAUCUUGCAUCUAUAGUAUUUUUGUCCUGGUGGAUCUCUUUAUCAUUUAAUAAAAGUUUGGAAUCUUGGGUUACUAAUUGGUGGAAUACUAGGCAAUCUAAAACUUUUUUGAAUGAUAUUCAAGAAAACAAUCAAUUUCCCAUCAUUUGCACUAUGAAUGGAAAUGAAAUUCUAGAUCUAGAAUCAGAUGAAUGUGCAACAGUCAAUUUCCUCCCUCACAACCUAAUUGUCCACUAAAAACAACCUUUUUUACUAUACGCUAUUUGGCCGCUAGAAGAACUUCAGUUCUUAUAGGUAAAUGCUCAAUACCCAAGUAGGCCUACAAAGUUGAUCAUGAUCAAGUGCUUUUUGGGUCGUCUUAGACCUUGCAAUAUCUCUCCGGCCCUCUAGCACUCUGUUAUGGCUCAAUCACUUACUCUAGUUCUGGAGUUCUAGGUCCUCUAGCUAUUAGUGCAGGUAGCUCUCCUUCUGGUAAUGCAUUAUAGGUUGUCUUCCUUCCACCUUCCUGUUUUCAAGAAAGCUUAUUUUCUUUCUAAGAAAAAUCAUACAAUCUCGUAUGAGAACGGGAUUGAUGGGAGGCAUAUGCUCCCAGGCUACACAAUGUCUUACAGGGCUUACCCAGUUAGAAGGUAUGUAACUAAAGUCUCAAGAGAAUUGAAAUCGACGAGAAAUCAGAAUCAAUGUUAGAGAUUAGACUUGGCAUGGAAAAAGGAGUAUAGUAAGAUGAUAGAGACCUCGCACGAGAUGCUUACUCGGAUUCAUGCCCAUAAAGAGUAGAAGAUUCAACACAAGUGCAAGAAUAGGUUUCACAGUUAAGAAAGGUUGAGAUUCAGGUGAGUGAGUGAGUCCUCACUGACUUGAGCGAUUUCGAUCACCUAGCAGUUUAUUUGGUAGGUAACAUCGCUAAAGCAUAUCAUCUGAUCUACAAAUGAAGGAAAUCAAAGUGAGACGACACCGUCCUCUGUAACGCAACGAUAGUUGGCCCUUUAUCAUCAACUAUUUGGUAGACUUGGUAAAAGAUGUAAGGCUUUAGCUAGUACACGAAAGUGCAUACCAUGAUUCUUCUGUCUAUCAAUAACUGCAUGCAUUGCACGAUGGAUGUGAAGAAGUAGGCCAUUAUCUCGACAAUAAUGAGCCAAGCUAGUAUUUGCAGUGAAUCCCCCUGUUAAGUAGUCACAUUAAUGGAACAAGAACACAUUAGCGUAUGAAACAGAGCUGAAAGCGCGAGUGCACAAUCUCAAAAACGGCAAAUUCACGUUCUACUUCCUCAAUCUCGAACUCUGUCUAUUGGGAUGAGCUCCCCUUACCUGCGCUAUUCUAUGAACGAACUUCCUUUAUAAACCAUAAAACUGGAACAAUCACUGUUCCAGGGUCUGUCUCAGAGUUCUAUCUCGUGCUUGACAUCAAUUGCAUCCAAACCUUUAAUCGGGUAUACUUUCCACAAUAACAAGCGAGUCAUAGUUAGGUAAAAGUUAUACAGAAAGAUGACAUCGUUGGCGAACUUGAAGCUAGUUAGGUAAAUCCCCUUAUAUUCUUCUUUCUUCUCCCAUAAGACAUUCCUUAUUAUUAUUAUUAUUAUUAUUUUCAUUUUCUCAAUUUCUUUAUCUUUUCAACUUUAAGACACCAUUUUGCACUUCUUCUUUUUUAUUAUAAUUAUUAUUCUUUAUCAACCAUACCAUGUUAAGAAAUUUAUUUAUUUUAAUCCAAAAAUCUACUUAAAUACAAUUUCAUACUUUUCUUAAUAAAUUAUAUAUAUAUAUAUAUAUAUAUAUAUAUAUAUAUAUAUAUAUAUAUAUAUAUAUAUAUAUAUAUAUUAUUUCUUAUUAUAACAAAUUUAAAAUGUCACAUGUAUCAUUUUUUUAAUAAAUCAAAUUAUUAUUCUUUAUUUCAUAUUCUACAAUUAUAAAUUAUACUCAAUAUAUGAUUUAUUGUCUUACGAAAAAUAUACUGCUAUAUUCUUAAUUAAAUUUAUUACAAGUCUACUUUUCAAAAAAAAAUUAAUUUGACUUUAAUUACUUGAAACAUUUUUAUUAUGAAAUUCAUUUAGAACAUGAUUUCAUUAAUUAUAUAUUUAAAAAAAAUCAAUUUUAGAAAAAAAUCUGAAACAUAAAAUAAUUCUUCAACAUCAAGAAGCUGAAAUUCAUAAUAAUAUUUAAUCCUUUAAUUUUACCAAUAUUUAUUUACCAAUAAAAUUUAAGCAAUAUUCUGAAAUUUAAUUCCAUUAGUUAUUUAGUCAUUCAAUUUAUAAAAUCAUAUUCUCAACCUUUGGUAUAACUUUUAUUUAAUUUACUUCAUUUGUCAAAUUUCUCAAUUGAAUCAAAAUUUCAAAAGUUAAAUUCACUAAAUUCAUAUUUAAUUAAUUUAGCCUUUUAUAUUCCCUAAAUUAAUAUAUCAUAAUUUACUCUUAAUGUAAUUUCAAUUCAAUUUUAUUUGAUGUUUUGUAAUUCUAUAAGGUUUAAUUCUAAUUAUAAAAAUUAUUGAUUUCUUAUAAAAUUAAAUUCAAUUUCUUUUUAAUUAUCCAUUAUAACAAUUUGAUAUAAUCUAAAUUUUUAUCAAGUUUUUCUUACUACAAUUCUCUAUAAUUAAAUUAAUGGUCAUAAUAUACUUAAUAUUCAAUUUUAGAGACUAUAAUAUCAAUAAUUAUUUGAUGGUUGAAUUUUUUUCCAAAUUUAAAUUUAAUUUUUGAAAUUCCUACUCUUUGCAUAUGACGUGAUGGAAUUUUUAUACUAUUGACUUUUUAUUAACUUUUUCAAAAAAUUUCUUAAUUAAAUAUUAACACGGGGAUUUUCGUCAUUCUUUUUUAACAUUUGACUAAUGAUUUUAUGAUAACUUUAAUCUGACAUGUCAUUAAAAAUCCGGUUGUUAUAGAGCCAGUCAAAUUAAGCCUGUUAUCCGAGGAGUGAAGCCACUGCCUUGUUCUAUCUCCGAUGGCCUGCUCAGCUCCUUCAACCCCCAUCGCUCUCCUCUUUCCAAGUUCUCCAUUUUCAGUUUAGAGCCAACAAGGAUCGCAGAAAUCCUUAAAGAUUGACCUACAUGGUAUCGUGAGUACCGCGAUGUGGAUGUUCUUAAUGUGUUGUCUACUAGAGCCAAAUGGGUGUUUGAUAAGACCCAGUGAAGGUGUAAAAAUUAUAUGACGAAGCUUGCAGAAAGACUUUGAGUUGAGGGAAGGCAUCUCAACGAAGUUGGGCUUUUGUAUUGUGAAUCUGGCAAAUUACCUAUACUGCAUGGAUCAUCACUCUUUUAACGUGGAGGUACACAGGUCCUUUGCAAUGUGACACUUGGGGCACCACAUCAAGCUGGUGAUGCUCAACGACUGGCUUCUCUGGACGGGUCCUCCAACAAAGCGCUUCAUGCUUCACUGAAAUUUCCCGGAGUUCUCAAUUAAUGAAGUUGGCCAACUCCUUAACCUGCACUGUUCCGCAGCAGUCACAUAAAGAUUUGACAUUGAAAUUGAUCAGGUUUUUCCUCUGCCAAUGGUGGUGGGCGCGCUUUGUAUGUAGAUUCCGAAGGAACUUCCAACUUGAUGGCUGUGAGUGGUAAGGUUGGAGAAGAUACUACUGGGUCUGCCCCAUUAGUUUUCCAUUGUUAAGGUAGUUUGGUGCACAGCUUCCUGGAUCAUCUACACCACGAGCACCUCCAGCCGCCUGUUUUGAUCAGUUUCUGGAUUUCCAUCUCCAAAUUGUGCAAGCAGUGACUGAUAUGGUGUCCAUACAAGCGGCUACUGAAAUGGUUCAAACCCCAAAUGCUGAAGGGAAAGGAGCUUUUGGAAAAUAUCAUGAAGAAGACUCACCCAUCUUACAUGAAAUUAUACACAACUCCAUGGACCAGAACCGGAACCCAGACUUAAAUUUGUCCAAGAGAAGAUCAGUGUAAUACAAGUCAACUGCAGUCAUUCCUGAAAGAAGUGAUGAGAAGAGUAAACCUGGAAAAGCAGUGAGUGAAACAAGUUUUGUGACAUUGAACAAUUUGCAGAUGGGUGUUCCCACAAGCUCCUCUCCCCUCUUCCUACGUGCAUGAAAUUCCUACGUGCAUGGCCACCUUCUUAGGUGUGCAAUUCUGCGCAUAAUUCUCAAGCGUACUAUCACCCUCUUCUUUUUUGAAAAAUUGAUUUUAAAUUUAAAAUUUUGACAAAUUCAUUUCCCUUUUAAAAUCCCUCAGUAAUUCUCUUCAAAUUAAUAAAAUCUAUUUUCAAAAAAAAUUUGCUGCCAUUUUCCUUUUGGCAUAGACCUUUUUCUAUUUUCUUUGAUUUUUAAUCAUUUUCCAAUUUUUUAAUAAAUAUGAAUAAAUUCUAUGUUUUUAAAAAUAAUGGAAUUUUGUCCAAAUUUCUAUUAUCUUUUUCUCCAUGAUCAUUAGAAAGAUGAAAUUCCUAAAAUUAAUUCAUGCAAAUAAAUUGGACAUUGGUAGGCCCAACAUAUGAAUUUUUCUCCUUUGAUUAUUGUUUUUAAUUGCUACACUUGAUUGACUAAUGAUUGAUCUCUGUCUUGCUCUAGCAUACAUGAGAUUAUUUUGUGCUUGUUAUUGUACACUAACCAUGUUUCUCACGAAGCGCUCAACUUAUUCUCAAGUACGUUCUUUCCUUUUCCUAUUCGUUUAGUUAUAACCAAUGUUUUCAAAAUCGGACCGAUCAUUGAAUUGGAAAAGUUACUGGUUCACGGUUCACUGGUCGAAUCGGCGGUCAAAUCACGGUCAAACUAGUGAUGUCAUAAAUAUAUAAUUUAUAAAUUAUUAAAAUUUAAAAUAAUUAUAAAAAUAAAAAUAAUAAUUUAUAUAUUAUUUAAAAAUUAAAAUUUUAUUUAAAAAUUAGAAAAUUAGUUUCAAAUUAGAAAUUAAAAUUAAAAUCAUAAUUUUAAUUUUAAUUUUCAAAUUUUCAAAUUCAUUUUUAAAUAAAAAAAAACUUAUUUUAAAAUCAUGAAUUUAUUUAAAAUUAUAAUAUUUUCAUUAAUUUAAAUUAAAAUCAUAAGUUUUAAACAUCAUGAAAUAAAAAAUAAUAAAUAUAAAAGAAAAUAAAUUAUACUGAAAUGAGGUAAAAAAUAAUUUAAAAAAAUGGAAAAAGAGAGGAGAGGAACAAGCAAAAAAGGGUUCCAACAGGGUUUUGGGGGGUGGGGUUUCCAUUUCUAGCGCCAGGUGGGGGCCCUUCCGGUGGGCCAAAAGGGGAAAAGCUUUUUGGCUUUUCCAGUGCAAGGGGUGCCGAUGGGGUGGGGGGUUCCAAUGGGCAAGAAGAGCUCUUCCAGCGCACGCGGGUAGGAGUGGCGACAAUGGGGAAAAAAAAAAAGUUGAACCGGAUGGUUCCAUCCGAACCGUCCGGUUAGUCGGCCGAACCACCGAUUUAACUAGUCCGACCACUUUCCAGCCCAAUUGACCAAACCAGAUUGAAACCGUGACCAGCCGAUCCAAUCCAAUUUUUAAAGCCAUAAUUAUAGCUCAACCAUAACACAUCAUUGAUCAUUACUUGGUAUUUGUUGACUUUUUGAUCAAUUGUCAUUCUUAUAUUAACUUGAUUAUUAGAGACCUAAUUUUAGGGUAUAAAGGGGUAUUACGAUUUAUCAUCCUACCUUCUCAACAAGUAACCUGACCCUUGAACCCAGACUUGGUUUUUCAUAAACCCGUAUUUUCCUUUCAAGUUUCAUACUUAGAAUUUUUUUUUUUCCAUUUAAAAAUAAAAUAAAGAUACGUGGCCUAAAACCAUUUUCAUCAAUCCAAAGUGAGUCUUGUCUUUUUUUUUUUCAAGUAAGGACACGAUCACAGGUCUACAAUACUAUUUUAAUAUAUAUAAUGAAAUAUAGAUAUUAACGCCAUCUUAAAGAUAUAAUUAAAUUUUUUGUUUAAAAUAAAUUAUAAUAAUUUAAAAAUAAUAUUUUAUUUAAAAUAAAUUUUAGAAUAAGCAAAGUUGAUAUGUGGACAUAGAGAAUCGUGAACCAUUGUAAAUGUAUUGAUUAUAUCUCUUUCUUCCCAUUUCAUUUUUACUUUAGUUUUUAUUAUUCGUAUCUUUUUCUACUAAAAUUUGAAAAAGAAAUUCACAUUCACUUCUUCUUGGGUGUAUAUCAUAGGAUUCAAAAUGUUUUUAAAAAUUAUUAAAUUUGUUAAUUGUGACUAUAUGCUUAUUUAGGAUCCAUUGAUCUUAAUAACUUUCUUCCCGAUAUAGGAAGAAAAUGACUAUUCCAUUAAUGCAGCAUGCAUUGCUGCUUAUUUAUCAAGCAAAUUACAUUAUUAUUUUCACACCAAACCUCCAAAUUCUCCAUGCAUAUACGCAUCCUAUACUGCAUGGCCAACUUCAGAGAGCUAAAACAAGCUCUUAUUGAAUACAUGAUAGAUAAUGUCCCACUGACCCUUUUACUCUGAUACCCUGAAAUGAGAAAUUUGGAGGUUUUCCACAUCAAGCUUCUUGAAAUUACUGCGCCUUCUCGUAACAAAGAACUUUCCCCAGUUGUAUGCUCUAUACUUUGGCUUUUCCCCCUUCGUCAGCUCCUCCAAGGGCUUCACCCAAACAUGGUGCCCGGGACUCAAAACGAACGGAAUCGAGAACCUUUCCCUCUCUGAAUUCACCAUCACCCUGUGCUCCACACUUUCAUAAGUAUCGUUGCUCCAGACCUGGUUUAAUAUCAGUAGAAUUAACCAAAUGAGUGAAAAAUUCCUUGAGCCAAACACUACUGAUAAGCAUGUACUUGUAAUUCAAAGUUCUUGGGUGGUACCUGAACUAUAUCCCCAACAUUGAUGAUAUAAGCAUCUGGGGUGGGCUUAACUCGAACCCAUUCUCCAUCAGUUUUUCGCUUUACUUCCAACCCUCCAACAUCAUCCUGAGCAAGGAAAGUUAAGGCUCCGGAAUCCUUGUGGCGACCAAUGCCCAGAGCUAGGUGAGGAAUGGAGCAAGGUGGGUAGUGAUUGAGGCGGAUGAAGUUUGUUGAUUCUUCAAAGAGAAGAUUGAAUCUGUUCUCUGGCAAACCUAAGCUCAGAGAGAGGAGUCCCAACAGAUUGACAGCUAGUUUUUCCAUUUCUCUAGCAUAUUCUUCACAUACCUCCCUGUAUAAAUCAGCUCAAUUAGAACAAAAAAACUUAAGUAAUUCACUGUAGUGACUGUGCCUUAGCUGGUGGAAUUUGUACCUUAAUUCAGGAGGGUACUGAGGCCACUGAUUGAUCAGCUUUUCGAGCUCCUUGUCGUCAGGAUUAGGCGAAGCAGGGAUGAAGGCGGGGGAUGACGCCACGAUAUCAAAGACUUCCUUCCAGUCCCUAACGUUCUUGGUAUGCUCAGUAUCGAAAUACCCAAAAGGAUUCACCUCAUCUCUACUCACCUUCCUCUUCUCCUCCAAUGGCAGAGCGAAGAACUUCCUCGCCGCAUCCUCAAUUUUACGACGAGACUCGGAGGGCACCCCAUGGUUGAUGACUUGAAAGAAGCCCCAGUUCUUGCACGCAUCAGCUAUUUGAGAAACAUGGUUGGAAGCAUUGGCGGAAGAGAGAUCAAUGAGGGGGAUGCCUUCAGCUUCGAUAACAGCGAGCUUAGGCCUAUGUUGGGUGUCUUGGAUGAAAGCUGGAUCGACCUCUCCCAUGGCUGUGGUAGUGGUUAGAACUUAGAACUUAGAAAUGGCGGUUAUGCACUGCUGGUGUUAGCUGCACGUGAAGAUGGUGAGGGGGACUUGGCCACUUAGCAGGUGGUUUUUGUAGUGUAGUGGGGUUGGUUUAGUACAUUGAACCUGGACAUAAUUGGGGUUACGUUUUAAGUUUUGGUUGGGGGUGUGGGCUCAUGGGUUGCGCAAAUGUCAAUGAUAAUUGGUCAAGUGAUACCAAGUUAUUUCCAAAAUCUGCAGCCGCAAAGGGUAUCUCUCUCGAUGAUUUUGGCAACGUACAGCACUCUCCACAUUCAAAUGUUUGAUCAAAGAUACGUUUUGUUUAGUGUCGUGUAUAUUUUCGAAUUAAUUACUUCAUAUUUAGGGAUACGUUUUGUUGAGUAUCGUGUAUAUUUUCGAAUUAAAAACUUCAUAUUUAGGGAAAAGUGUGCUUCAAUACGCUAAUAUAAAAAUAUCAGCAAAAUAAGAUCCUAAUUUUUCAUAUUUUAAGGUUUAUAAUGCAAUUGGAAAUUAUUUGGAGAAUUAUGCAUUUUCAGCUCAUGUGUAUUUCAAAUCCAAAAUGCUCUCCACCUUGCCAGCCAAGUCUUACACGUUGAAAGUAAAGAGAGAAAAAAUCUUCAAAAAGCCACCAAAACCAAUUUCUCUUUCUUUUUGAGUUAUUUGAUUCAAAAGAUCAAUAAAAUCCAAUUUUUAAAAUUUAACCCUUUGUUCUUUUUUUUUUCAUUUUGAUAAAAAUAUCUUUACCAUUUUCUUGUAGAAAUAACAUUUUUUUUAAACCUAUAUGUAAAUACUUGAAAUGGUAAGAGACGUGUACAUUAAAAAAAAGUUAUUUUUCAAGUAAAAAUAUAGAAAGGAUUAUUUCAUCCCUUUUAACCAAAUAUUUAACAUGAUCAAGGACUAUUCCCUAAAUGAAGGCAUACGGUAGCAAAUACCCUUAAUCUAAACAUUAAAAGUACAACUUAUCUAGUAUCAAACACUCUGUUUUAAAACCCAUAGCCACUCCAAAUAUCCCAAAUAUUCUUUUCUAUGCAACCUCUCUCUCUCUCUUUCUCGCACAAACACACUAAAAUAUUUUCUCAAACUUGGAUUUUUCUCCACAACUCAACCCUAACUUCCUUUCUAUUUGUACCAAGGCUAGAGAAUAUAGUUUAUACUUGUAUUCCUUCAUGUACCAAGCCCACAAGAUGAUCAAUAAGUUUCUCUCUAGAUUUUACAUUGGAGUUGAUUGAUGAUAGUACCCUUAUUAGGUAGUAUAUUAUCUUCCUUAGGUACUGCUUUUUCCAUCCUUAGAUACUACCUUUGUAACCUUGGGUGCAUGAUUGAAUCCAUUGUUUCAUGGCUACUUCAAGUAAGUCAGGAACUUAUGUACAUGUGUGCUACAUGUCUUAUAGAUACUAAAUUUACAUUCUUUAGGUACUACCUUUACCUUCCAUGGGUACAAAUACGGUUAAUGAUAAGAAUUUUAAUAUAAAAAAGGGAAAAACCCUGCUUGAUAAUAAAAUUGCAUAUAUUUUCUUUCUUUCUUUCCUUUUUGAUUGAUUUUUUUUUUUUUUGGUCUUUGCUUUGGUUUUUAUUUAUGUCUUUGUUUCUUUUAGUCUUUGUGUGUGUGUGUUUUAUUUUAUCUUAUUUUCAUCUCUAUGCAGAAGAUGUAGAAGAAACAACAUCACAUCAUAAGGUGCAUUUUUCCGUUCAUUUAAGACUAAAGGUUUUGGAUUCACAAAAUGGUGGGAACUAAGGGUGAGAAGCUGGAAAAAUGUUGGAUUGAGCUACAUUUGAUCAAUGGUGAAUUUGCAAAAAAGAUUGUAGGAGAGUGUAGACCCUCAAUUUUGUCCCUUUAGCACAUGUUUUAAAGUCCAUUACCAAUACUUUACAGUAAUCUCUUGGUAGCCCAUAGCUACUCACGCUACUUACCUUUCUUGAGCCACCUCGGAGACUCUAGUUGAGGGAUUGCCUAACCCCUUAUUGUGACCCUUGGCAGUUUUGAUUUAGACUUAAGGUUUUCAUUCCUUCUUAGGAUAGCUCUUAGGUGCACUUUUAGGUCCACUUAGGCAUCACCCUUGGCUAAUUUAGACAUUUUGGGCCCGUUUAGACACCUUAAACUCGCCUAGAUUCACCUUAGACCCGCUUAAGCACUUCAUUGGGGCUCAACAUUUUUAUAUAAUCUCUUGAUCAUUAUUGCAUGCAUUUGAUGAUUAUAUUUUCUUUGUUUAUUCAUUUAUUUGUUUGUUUAUUUAUUCAUCCAUUUAUUUAUUCAUUUUUUAAUUUCUAUUACGUCUUGUUUUUUUUUUUCUUUCUUUCUUUCAUUUAUUUACCUACUUAAUAGAGAAUUGUUUAGAUAUUAAAUAUGCAUACAACCCCCUUAUUGAAUGAUGGAAUUGUACAAUCUGAUAUCUCAUUUUCUCUUUCAUUUUCUUUUAAUCGUAUUUCACUUUAUUACCAAUUUCAUGACUUUCAUUAGUUGCUUCUCUUUUCCUUUGAUUUUUUAAUCUUAUCUUAUUUUGUUUUGCAUAAGGAGCACCAUCUUGGGGAGUACAAGAGGAUCUACAUUACUGGUUUGAUCAACAUAUGUUUGAGACUAAAAGCCUUCAAGAUGGCAAAAGAUGGUCAUCACAGCCCCAUGCUUCUUCUUCCCAUCUCUCAUAAUUGAAGCCUCUGUACAAAACUUCAUCAUAUCCUGAACAAUAGCAGCCACAGCAGUUGCAGCCACAGCAGCUGCAGCCACAGCAACUGCAGCCACAACAGCUGCAGCCACAGCAGCUGCAGCGACAGCGGCAACCACAGUUAAUGCUGCAACAGCAGCCACAGCAGCAUAGACUGCAUCAUCCAGUUCAACCUUCAUUUGGUCAUUUAUCAGGGUUGCAGCCCCAACUAUUUAAUCCCCAUCUUUCCCCAGCUCCACUCAUCAUGAACAAAUAUGAAGCAAUGCUUGGGAUAGGUAAUCUGAGGGAUCAAAGACCCAAGUCAAUGCAAAAAGGUAGACCAAAUCAUCGGGUUUCUCAACAGGGCUUGGAUACUAGCAGUCGGAAGAGUGAUGUUGGUGGCCACAGUUCAGAUCCAAGUAUAUGACAGCUGAUGAAAUCGAAAGUAUCCUUAGAAUGCAACGUUGCGGAACAGAUGGAUGAGUAGAAAGGAAAAUAGCAUGAAAAUAGAAAGGAAGUGACCACUUUGUGCACAACACGCAUAUAGUGGGCUGUAAGGGGGAUUCUUUUUUGUUUAGAAAGAAAAGUCAACUUGUAUCACUUACUAAACGAGAUGUGGCUGCAUCCUUGAGGGAAUCUCCCAAUGAGCCACCAUGUAUGCACUUUCCUUAUCCAUGUGCAUUGAAAAAGGAUAUAGAAUAUUCAAUAGAGGAAAGGUGCUGCCAUAUAGAAGGAAGGUGCUGCCAUAUAAACAUGUCACAGAGAGAACACACGGUGGACUUUUCUUUUGGGAGCAGAAAUUCACAUACAAAAAGUAAUCUUUUUUAGAGGAGAUGAACACACGCAAGAGUUUUUUUUUGGGAGCGGUAGAGGACCUGAACGACUAAUUGGGCUGCCAUUUUGACACAUCAAGAAAGUAUUUUUCCAAUACAAUACAGGUUAGUUUUCGAUUUUUGAUACCGUAUUUCCUUUUUUUUUUAGUUUGGGUUUUAGUUGUUUGGUUUAAUUAAUUGUUUGUGAUAAAUUCUUUUAAAUCUCGAUUUCGAACAAUCUUUUAUUUUUCUUAUAUUAAAUGUCUAUCUUUUAUGAUUGCAAUUCAUUAGUUCUAUGCUAGUUUAUUUUUAAUUUACAUGAAAGUUUAAAUAAAGUUUAUAUUUUUAAUUCCAAUUAGUUUAUUUUUAAAUUUGAAUGAGUUAUCGAUCUUAAUUAUUUAGUUUAAUUGACCUUGUGAGAUAAAAUUUAUAUUUUUAAUUCUAAUUAGUUUAAUUUUAGUUUAUUUUUAAUUUGAAUGAGUUAUCGAUCUUAAUUCUUUAGUUUAAUCGACCUUGUGAGAUAAAAUUUAUAUUUUUAAUUCCAAUUAGUUUAAUUUUAGUUUAUUUUUAAUUUGAAUGAGUUAUCGAUUUUAAUUCUUUGGUUUAAUUGUCCUUGUGAGAUAAAAUUUAUAUUUUUAAUUCCAAUUAGUUUAAUUUUAGUUUAUUUUUAAUUUGAAUGAGUUAUUGAUCUUAAAUCUAUUAGUUUAAUUGGACUUGUAAGGUAAAGUUUAUAUUUUUAAUUCCGAUUAGUUUAAUUUUAGUUUAUUUUUAAUUUGAAUGAGUUAUUGAUCUUAAAUCUAUUAGUUUAAUUGGACUUGUAAGGUAAAAUUUAUAUUUUUAAUUCUAAUUAGUUUAAUUUUAGUUUAUUUUUAAUUCGAAUGAGUCAUUGAUCUUAAUCUAUUAGUUUAAUUGGUCUUGUAAGGUAAAGUUUAUAUUUUUAAUUCCGAUUAGUUUAAAUUCUAGUUUAUUUUUAAUUUGAAUGUGUUAUCGAUCUUAAUUCUUUAGUUUAAUCGAUCUUGUGAGGUAAAGUUUACAUUUUUAAUUCCAAUUAGUCUAAUUCUAGUUAUUCAUGUGUUUCUUGAAAUCUAAAUGUUAGUUUUUGAAUGAUAAUUUUGUUAGUUUGUUUGAUUAGGAAGUCAUAAAUUUGUUGUCUUAGUGAUUGUUGGUCAAUUUUUUUUUAGGACCACUGGAAACCCAUGAAGGUUGGCCUUUACUCUCACCACUUUAAUUGAUAAGAUUUUCUAAAAUCUUUAUUUCGUGAUCUUUGUUUCCUUUUGUUUUGAUUGAUAUUUUGUUUUCUAUUUUUGUUAUUUUAAAAAUUAAUUUCUUUUAUUUUAAAACAAAACUCUUUUUCUCAAAAAAACCCUUUUUAAAAUUUUUUUUUUAUUAUUCAUUUAAAGCCUCUAGAAUCAAAAUCUAUUUUCUUUUUUAAAAAAUAACAUGCAACCAUAUCUUAAUCAGUUUGCAUCCUUCUCAAUUUUCAACAAAAAUAUCCUUCUCAAUUUUCAACAAAAAUUUUGGUUUUAAACAAAACGCGAAUCAAAGCUUGUGGUCCCAAAUAAAUGGAACAAUUUUAGGCUAAAUUCAUGUAUAUUAAUUUGGGGAAUUGGUGAAACCCCUACAUAAGAAAAUCUUUUCAAAAUUUACUUUUGCUACCACCCUACUAUUUAUCAUAAUCAUAUUUACUUUUUUUCUUUUUAGGAAUUGUAUACAAGAUAUGUAUGAUAAUUAAUUAUUCCGAGUUCUGAUAAUUUUUGCUAAUUAAUUAGAUAAGCAUGCUAGGAUUUAUUAUUUAUUAUCUAUUAUCUAUUAUCUAACCCUCAUGUUCUGAGGAAGUGCAUUAGGAGUUAUAUAUGCUAUCCAGGUACGUUCCCAAAAUCUCAUGAAUAUGCAUGUCAUUACCCUUGUUUGAUGCCAUACUUGAUUGCCUCGAUGCUUGUUUGAUCAUCCUUGAUAAAAUGCAUGUCGUGUGUCAUAUUUCUGAAUUAACCAUUGAUGUUUAAUGAUAGUGCUUAAGAAGUGGUUCAGGUACGCACCCUAACUCUCCUUUAUUGUGAUUGAUCUCCUUAUUUAGCAUGCUACUUUCUGAAAAUCACCUAGCUUACUUAAGUAUCCAUAAUUAAUCAAUUAAUUGCCUCAUUUCCCCAAUUUAGUCAGUAAAGACCUCUUUAGGGCUUAGAAGGGUGCUACCUCCUAGAGGUACCUUCCCAAUAAGUAACCUGAUCCCCGGACCUAGACUCGGGUUUUUCAAAGACAUGUUUUUUUCAAAAAUUAUGGAGUCACAUUUUAGGGUUUUUCUUUCUUGUUUUAUUUUCCCUUUAAAAUAAAAAUAAAAUAAGUGGCGGCUCCAACUUUUCCAAAACUAAAUAAUUUUUCACAAAUAAAAAAAGAGUCUCGCCAAUCGAGUGGGGACGCAUGUGAAAAAUGCAGGUCCACAGAGAGGUUUCUUGAGGUGGACAAGGUCAGAAGCAAAGAGCCUUUCCCUACUUUUUGGGGUUGGUUCCUUGAGUUCUUAGGAAGAACUUAGUUAACGUGUGAAUUCAUUCAGGGUAAUUUAUGUAAGAUUUUCUAGAUUUUGCAAGUGAAUGCACCUUAGCUUUUCCUAUUGUAUUUGUGUUUUUUUAGGUUGAUUAUUUUAUUGAUUGUCACCACUCAAGGAAUGGAAGCAAUAGGGUCUCUAGAUGUAGUGCCUAAAGGCAAGCAUACAGGCGUUGUUAGGAGUGUGCUUCCCAUGUCCAACAAGCAUAUUGACACCACCCAAAGCCAAGGCAUCUUUGGACUAGGAGUUCUAGCUUCUACUUAUGUGGACUUUGUAGAUGCAGUCUGGCUCUUCGAAAUAUUUAUUGUUAUGUAGUAGUUAUACACAUGUACUUUGUUUAAGUGAAUUGAUUUUUGGAUUUUUACUUAAAUCAAAUUUAAGGGUAUGUUGUUUAAUUUACUAGAGAUCUCUUGUUUGUAAUUCUCGUUAUCAUAUAUAGAUCUUUGUUAGUAUUUGCCAAUUUCCUCAAUAGCAACUGUAUUAGUUAUCAAUGGAAUGAAUCUUGAGUAACUUGUAGUAUCAUUUUUGGUUUUGAAUUGGCUAAUCUUUUUUGGAAGAAUGAAUUAGAUAUAUGAGCUUGAUUGCAAGCAAUAGUUGAGUUUGUUUUGAUCUUGGGGUAUUUGCCUUAUUGAUAGGACAUAGAUUUUGGGUCCAAAUAGUUGGAAAUUGAUGAGCUUAACCAGGACAUAGAUUUUAUCCCCUUGGGAGAACCACAACACUAACCAGUGUUCCUACAAAAGCUAAUAACCAUGAUUUAGAAAUGUGAUUUCCCUAAAGGGAAGCAUUUCUAAUCUUAUUUGAAGGGAAACUUUGAUGUCUUCCUUAAUACACUAGAAUAUUAAUUUAAAAACAACAAUUAAGGUUAUAUUAACUAUUAUAAUAAUUUAUAAAUUACAUAAAUAUGAUAAUAACUAUUAAAAUAAAAGUAUUAAACAUAAAAAUGUUUAAUUCUGUUGGGUAAAAACUUCAUAAAUAUUUUAUUAUUGAACUUCUAUCAUAUGAUCAAACAUAGUGAUGAUCCUUAGUUGGAUUAAUUAACACUUGUUUCAUAAAUUGAACAACAUAUAACAUGAUCAAUAAACAAACAAGUAAACAUCAUACUAGAUAAAACUAUCUCUUAAGAUUUCAAUUAUUACAUGUUUAAAUUACAAAUCAUAUUUUUGCAACUUUCGUAAAGUUAUGCAAUAGAUAUAAUUAAAAUUAUGAAACAUUGAAAAUGUAUAUUGAUUCAUUAUUCAAAUUCAUCAUAUCAUAUAUAUACUUUAGUUGUCCAUAAGAUCAAAUAAUAACCAAAAUUCGAAAAAUAUGUUUUAUGAUCCAAAAUUGAUUGACACUAAUAUCAAUUGUUACAUAAACUUUAUGUGAAAUAAUUAUUUUGGAAAAUCAAUUUGGAUGCAUAAAGCAUAAUAGUUAUAAGAAAUAAAGAAAUGACAAAAUAAUAAUUAUAUUUUUGUCUUAAUCCAUGAUACCGAUAACACUUUUAAAGUGAGUUCGAGUCACUUUGUGAAUUGUUGGGUCAAGGUAUUCAACUCAUCAUUCUCAUUUAGUAGAUGAGACAAUUGUGUGGUAUAUGUUGUUAUAAGCAAAACAACUAAAAACAUAAGAAUACAAUACAACUUAGGACCUUAACUUUAAAAAAAGAUUUAUAACUCUUAAUCUUCUCAUAAAAGAUUAUAUGAGAGUUAUACUCAUUAUUUUUAAACAUUAUAUAUAAAUUAAUGGACAAUAGUAAACUACCAACUUGAAUACAUUCAUGUAAUUAUAUAAAUUACACUUUUUCAUCUUCCUCUAUUAGUCAUAAACUUUAUAUAUAAAUUAAAUCUCAUAAUGAUGGAGUUACAAAAGUUGUAAUACCAUAUUCGUAUAAAUGAAAAUUUUCUAACUCCAUAUUUAUAAUUUUAAUUUUCUAUGUUAGAAGUUGAAUUUGUUCCACAUCGCCAAGUUACCGGGUUAUUAUGUUGUUUAUAUAUGUGGAUUGGGCACCCUCUCCCUUUAAGCAAGCUUUUAGGGAUGAAUUAUAUUCAAACCCAUUUAACAUGGUAUCAGAGCUUGGUUUGACUGGGGGUCGUGGGUUCAAGCCACCUCUUCGCAAUUCGUAUGUUUGUUCCUCAUUUGCAUGUUUGAAAGUCUAGAAAAGGGUAUUUGCAUUUGUUUGUUUGUCCCUUCACGUGUGGAUAUGGGGCCACACAUAAGAUAUGGUGUUAAAAAGCAUGAAAUGUAUAUUGAACCCAAAUCUUAUAAGUUUAAGCUUUUAGGAAAAUUAGUAAUUCAACAUUCUAUACAUAAAAUUAUUUGAUGUCCAAUCAAUUGAUUCACCUACCUAUCAAUUAAUAUACUUUUAAAUAAAAUAUAUUUCAAUCCAUUACACAAAUAUAAUUAAAACAAAGUACUAUAAUAAUAUGAGUAUGUGACAAAUAAAUAAAAUAAAAAUAAUCACAUGUUACAUGUAAACUAUAUUCAAAGGAAAAACCACAAGUCAUCCCCACUAUUAAACAAUCCAUUGUAUAAUGAUCAAUUACAAAGACCAAGUAUUACCAAACUUAAAAGUAUCUAAAUCAUACUCACUUUGCACAUUUUCUUUAUACUUGGAUCCUUUAAACUCAUUUAUCCCAAUGUGGAAGCAUCUUGAGUUCUAAUCAAGGAAAUCAACCUUUACUUCAUCAAGUUAAAGUCUCUUUAUAUCAUUGACAACCAUAUCAAGAUUUCUUUUGUUGGUUGCUUUCAAAGUCCCACUAGAAUUAGAUUGAAAUUUUUAUAAUCUCUAGAACUUUAACAUAUUAAUUCUUCAAUGAGUCAAUCAAAUAUUAAGUUUUAUCUCCAUAGAUGGACCUCAAUGAAUUUUUCGACAAAGGUGUUAACACUAAUUUCAUAUUAGUAAAAAAAAAUCAUGUGACACAUAUUGAUAUAUAUAUAUAUAUACUAAUUUCAUAUUCAUAGAUUGAAUUCAUGAGAAAAUUAUUCUUAAUUUUGUAAAAAUUAUAUAUAUAAGAAAGUUUUUAGGCUUACUAAAACACAUUACUAACCAAGUGGCAAUAUAUUUAUAAUUUAGGUCUCAUUAUUUUGUAAUCAAGUUUCAUUCAUUUGUAUCAUAUAUGAGUCCUAUUAUGUCAUACCUUACUCUUAUUACAUUGUACUUUGAUCUUAUUUGUUUAAACAUCGAUUUCAUUUCUUUAUAUGUACAUCACAUUUAUUUAUAUCUCAAUCUUAAUUAUUUGUAUCUUUAUUUAACAGUUUAGAUUUCAUUACAUAUUUUUAAAAUUUUAAUUUGAAAUUCGAUAUCUUAGUAUUUUUCUAAAAUAGCUACCUAUAAUCCUUGUAGAGUACUCAAAAUUCACUCCAACCCAUAAAAAAAAAUGACCUCUCUUCGUAAGUUGCUAUACUCAUUGCUAAACUAUAAUUCCAAAAUUAGCAGAACUUUUCAUACUUAUUCUAGGCAAUUAGAGUUGAGAUGUUCCGGGCAUAUACCAUAUUCUUUCAAGAUUUGAAAGAAAUGUUACGAUUUCAGCAUUAAAUAAUGCAUGUCGAUUAACAAUAUUGCUCAGAUUCUUUAGGCAAAGGUCCACAGACAAAAAAAUUAUUUAUUUAUUUUCUGAACCACCCCUGAAAUUGACACCUCCCAUACAGUCUGAUCUGCAUUUCUGUGGCACUAUUUCCCUUAUUCCUAACCAUAAAUCUGCUGCCAUCUCAAUAAUUCACAUCCUUAUCCACUCCUUAUCUAGGGUUGUAACACUUUUUUCAAAAAGAUUUUUUUUUUUUUUUUUCGAAGGGGUGGAUAAGGGUCCUGAGACAAGCUGUGGUAUAAUUAUAAACCCACUUGGGUAAUGGUUUCAUUGUCAGGGUAAUUCUAUUUAAGGUGAAAAUCAGCUGGGUCUAUCAUUCUUGUUUCCAUGUGACUGUUUCCAAGGAGAACUCAACCCUCAAAUCCAUCGAGCAGUCAUAUAAAAAUACACGCAGAUUUCAUAUCUUGAAGCUUGUCCUGUGUUCAGAUCGGAUAACUCACUCAUAUGCCUAAUCACUAAUCGCCAACUUGAGUGUAAAAAAAGCGUGGGGCGAUAUUAUUUGUAUAUGGGUUUGACUGUUUGAGAGAGAAAGGUGGGGUGUCCCUUGGAGGAGUCCAAAGGCCAUUUUUGAACCUGCCUUUGAUUAUCGCCAUGGCAAAUCAACAGCUUGUAGUAUAUAUAUAUUAAUGGAGACCAAGACUCAAAUAGAGAGAGAGACGCGGGGAUGCGAUAAAGAGAACAGUAUAGCCAAGAGUAUAUAAGCAUUUCUCUUGCUGUAAUGGUGAUUCAGAGACUGGAAAUGUGUAUAUCACUGCUGAAAAUGGCAGUAGAGUUUGUGCUUGUUUUCGCGGAGGCAGUCGGGCUAGUCAUCAACCACAAUGCCACGCCGCUUUUGGCAAACUCAGCCUCAGUUGGCAAUGAUGUUUCUGUCCCUUUUAUCGGUUUUCUUCUUUGAAUUCUUCGUCUUGUAGUUUCCUUCCUUACCAGAAUGCUCAUUGGCCAUUGUAUAUGUUGAGGGUUCUUUUUUGCCUUGAUAGAUUUUCUAAAGGAUGUGCAUGUUUGAUAGGAGAGAGUAUAUAUACACAUCUAUGUAAACUUUGAUUAAAUUUUGUUCUGGGUGAGCUUCAUUUUCUGCAAAUUCAUUUGCUGAUAGCUUUGGAAACGAAUCUUCAGUUGUUUGGGUGCUGAUUAUUUGCUUGCUUCACACGAUUUUAUGUGCUGUUCCUUUGGUAAUAAUCUUGUUGGGUGGAUCAAGGAGAAGAGCGAAGAUCUGAGGGAAAAUAGAGUCUGGAGAAAGAAAAGAUGUAAUGAUGAUUAAGAAAGGCUUUAAUAUACUUGCAAGAUCAGGAAAAAAUAUUUCUUGGGUAUCAAUUAUUUUCUUGCUUGAUAUGGGUUUGAUACUCUUUUUCAAUUGGUGAUCAUUCUGGGAAGAUCAAGAAGAAGAAAAUGGGGUCUAGAUGAAGAAAAGCUAUAAUGGCGAUUAUUAAGUGGAAUCAGAUGAAAUAAAAGUCUGUUUCCAUCAUUCUUAAUAUGGUUUCUUUUGUCAAAAAUGGAAGAUGACUUGAUUUUCAUAGUCCCAGCAGGACUUUAGUACUCAUCAAACUCAUAAAUUUUGAACAACUUUGAGCUAACCUUCUGCAUUAAUUUGGUGCAUCUGCGCAGUUGCAGAGUAUGAACACCCACAAAAUCUUAAUAUGAAUCUUUUGGGGCAAUAGCUUCUAUAUAUGAUGGAUGAUAAGAACAAAGCAAAUCUUGGGUUCUCCAUGGGCACGAUCAUUUAUCCGCCAUAUAAAAUGCAGAUUUUCCUAACACCAACCCCUUAUUUUAAUAAAGUCAAGUUAUUUUAAGGCCCCCAAUAUUAGACAUGCCUUAGAAUCAUUGGGUCUGUGAUUAAAAAUGUAGUAAUAUCAUUUAAAAUACCUAACACUGAAAUUUUGAUAAUUUUGAAUGCCAUAGUGUGGAUUUGAAGAAAGAAAUCGCAUCCAAGAUCUCUUCCUUUUCCUGGGAAACAUUAGUCUUGGUCAAUUAUGAACUGUUACACGUUGCCUAUCAUGGUCAUAUUUAUAUUAGCUUUGAUUUCUAUGGGGGAUAUAAUUUAUUUGUAUGCUAAUCAUAGAGGUGAUACAUGUGAUCCACAUGUCAUAUUUGGACUUGGAAGCAAUCAUUGGAUUCCUUUGAUGAACUGGCAAUGGAAGAAUACUAAUUGCUCCGGUCCCUUUCUUUUUUCAAAGUAGGAUGAUCAGGUCCUUUGAUCCCUUCGACUCCCUCUGGCUGUUUUUCUUUGUUCUUUUUUCAAUCAUCCAUAGCUUAAAAUUAAAGCCUUGAUGCCCUCCUCGACUUUCCCAAGAUAAAACACCUUAUCUUCACUUUAUUUCUCUUCCCUUUAAAUUUGAUUUUAGAUCUGAAAUCCAGGGCUUAUGACCCUGUAGAAGAAAGACAGAUAUGAAGCUUGGGAUGAUUUGAACUUCAGUUUGAUUUUCUGCACACUCUGUUAAAACUCCUGAAAUAUAGUUGUAUAUUGCAAUACAUUUAAUUGUUUGAUACAUCUGAACUAUGAUGUUCUAUUAGUAAAAAUUUCUUUGAAUCAAUCCACGGCUCAAAGUACCAAUUUCUAUUGAAACUUUUUUUCUUUUCCUGCUCAUUCAAUUGUUUCAUUUUCCACAUAAUGGUAUGACAACAUCAAGAAUACUUCUCAGCAAUUGCCUGCAGGUGAACCCAAAGCUCUUUUGGCUUAGAGAUCAUGACCAUGUGAUCAGAUCCUUUAAUCUCUUUAACAGCAUCAGGUGGGUUUUUUUCAAUCAUCCAGAGUUGAAAAUCCCUUUUCCCCAGCUUGUCUUCCUCUGAAAUAAUAAAGACACGUUUAACCGAGGCAUAUUUCUUCGACAACAUGAGCUCAUUUGACAUGUCUUCUUCAAUGAACAAGCGUACGGGUCUCAUCAACACAGUCCCUAGUGCCAAGUCCUGGAAUAUUUGUGCCCGAAAUGAUAUGACAACAACAAUGAAGGUCUCAUGAUUUUGGUUGUAAGGCCUUAAUAAAUGGAGUUCUCACCUCAGUUGGGCUCAACUGAUACACAUUCAGUGAUAAGAACAAGGGGCCAAAGCUGAAAGUGGUGGGAGGAUUGUUGGGGCCAUUAUCAUAUGUGAACUGGCUGUCUAGUAGAGGACCUUGUCUCCUGAGUGACUUCAAUAAGAAGUAGAAACCAGGCUAAAAGUCAGAAACAGGGGAAGCCUUCCCCUCUUAAUCAGCAAGUAAAUUUCUGUAAAAGAAAAAUAGUAUGUAUGAAGUACCUCUUGAUUGAGAGUGGAAAUGUUGAGAGUGGGACCAGGCAUUGAGGCAGUAACAAAAACAGCUACAGAAACCUUUUCUGGGAACUUCUCCAUGGCCUGAGAAAUGGCCAAUCCACCCAAGCUGUGUCCAACGAGAACCACCCUCUCAUCUGCAGGGAGUGACUCCACGAAGUCCCUCAGUGGCUGGAAAUACCAAGAAAUUGAUCGCAGAUCACCCACUUGUUUUGGGUUAAUUCCAGAAGCAGCCAAGUCCAGAGCAGUAACUUUGUGGCCAGAUGAUUUUAGUAGUGCCACAAUCUUGUACCAAGACCAGGCACCAUGGCAAGACCCAUGAACUAGAACAAAGUGCUUGACGGGAUUAGCCUGUCUCCCCUCUGAUGCCAUUGGAUACACUGAAGAAACAAGAAAAAUCAGAAAGGAAACAAAAAUCAUAUGCUUCUUCCUUGCUUCCAUACUCCUUUCCUGUUACAGAGAUGGUCAGCACCCCAGCAUUUUAAAGGGCACAAUUGGGUAGGUUUUCACUACAACUACUAAUCUAAUUGAUUAAAAAUUUUCCCGUGAAAUUGACUCUAGAAAUAAAAUAAGGACUAAGGAUUCAAGAACACGUACACUUUGACUGCCAGAGUUUAUGUCUUUUCAUAGAUGACACAUGCACCUGCGUCACACUCUUUUUCAAUGAUAAAGAAGUUAUGCAAAGGAAGAAAGAAUGAAAUAUACAGAGUCAAGUAGUUAACUCCUCCCCUUGAAUUCUUCUCUUGCCCGGAUUGGUUUGUAACUGCAAACAUUUUCUUUUCCCAAUGUGAUCUGUGGAUUGAGUUCUGAUCUCAAUUUGUUUUUGGCAUUUUUGGUUUUGCUUCUGCAAAUCUUGAGAUGUAUCUUUCAAUUAAUAUAAGUUGUGCAGUUAAGGUUUUUGGACAUAUAAAAUGUUAGCCAAACCUUUCCCGUGGCAGGUUGAAGGUACUUUGGGGUAGGCUUGGUCAUGCUUGAUACCUCAGUCUGACUCAAACAUGAUGUUUUCACCCAUUUGAAUUGAUCAAAGUUGUGUUGACUGGCAUGAUUCCUUUAAUAAAGAAGUUGUUUUAGGAUUAAGGCGUACAACACAAAUUUGACUUAAGUAGAUCUAUUUAAUUAUUGUGUAUUAACAUAAUUAUAAUCAAUUGAGUCGAAAAUGAAUUAAAUUAAAAAGUUAAUUUUAUUGAUUUAAAUAAGACCUAAUUCAACCUGAUUAUUAAAUUACUCAACUUAUUAUAUGAUUUGAACACUGCCCACCAACAUUAAUUGUAACCCGUGCUUUGAGUUCAGGUGGCAGCAAGAGUUUGGCCUUUGUUUUGAGUGUUGGAUGAAUGUUGGAUUAACCUUUCCCAUGGCUGUCAAAUUCCUCAUAAAUUAUUGGUGAUUGUAAUAAUUUCCUCAAAAAGUAAUGGUGCUAUAUGCUUCUUUAGGAUCCAUUGAUCUUAAUAAUUCUCUUCCUGGUAUAGGAAGAAAGUGACUAUUCCAUUACUGCAGCUUUCAUUGCUGCUUAUUUAUCAAGCAAAUUACAUUAUUAUUUUCACACCAAAUCUCCAAAUUCACCAUGUACUUAUCCUAUAUACUGCAUGGUGAACUUCAGAGAGCUAAAACAAGCUCUUAUUGAAUACAUGAUAGAUGAUGUCCCACUGACCCUUUUACUCUGAUACCUUGAAAUGAGAAAUUUGGAGGUUUUCCACAUCAAGCUUCUUGAAAUUACUGCGCCUUCUCGCAGCAAAGAACUUUCCCCAGUUGUAUGCUCUGUACUUUGGCUUUUCUCCCUUCGUCAGCUCCUCCAAGGGCUUCACCCAAACAUGGUGCCCGGGACUGAAAAAGACCGGAAUUGAGAACCUUUCCCUCUCUGAAUUCACCGUCACCCUGUGCUCGACACUUUCAUAAGUAUCGUUGCUCCAGACCUGGUUUAAUAUCAGUAUAAUUAGCCAAAAGGGUGCAAAAUUUCUUGAUCCCAACAGUACUGAUAAGCAUGUACUUAUAAUUCAAAGUUCUUGGGUGGUACCUGAAUUAUAUCCCCAACAUUGAUGAUAAAAGCAUCUGGGGUGGGCUUAACUCGAACCCAUUCUCCAUUGGUUUUUCGCUUUACUUCCAACCCUCCAACAUCAUCCUGGGCAAGGAUGGUUAAGGCUCUGGAAUCCUUGUGGCGACCAACGCCCAAAGCUAGGUGAGGGAUGGGGCAAGGUGGGUAGUGAUUGAGGCGGAUGAAGUUUGUUGAUUCUUCAAAGAGAAUAUUGAAUCUGUUUUCUGGCAAACCUAAGCUUAGUGAGAUGAGUCCUAACAGCUUGAAAGCUAGUUUUCCCAUUUCUCUAGCAUAUUCUUCACAUACCUCCCUGUAUUAAUCAGUUCAAUUAGAACAAAAAAAAAAAAGUAAUUCACUGUAGUGACUGUGCCUUAACUGGUGAAACUUGUACCUUAAUUCAGGAGGGUACUGAGGCCACUGAUUGGUCAGCUCUUUGAGCUCCUUGUCGUCAGGAUCAGGCGAAGCAGGGAUGAAGGCGGGGGUAGGCACCACGAAAUCAAAGACUUCCUUCCAGUCCCUAACGUUCUUGGUAUGCUCAGUAUCAAAGUACCCCAAAGGAUUCACCUCAUCUCUACUCACCUUCCUCUUCUCCUCCAGUGGGAGAGCGAAGAACUUCCUCGCGGCAUCCUCAAUUUUACGACGAGACUCCGAGGGCACCCCAUGGUUGAUGACUUGAAAGAAGCCCCAGUUCUUGCAUGCAUCAGCUAUUUGAGAAACAUGGUUGGAAGCAUUGGCGGAAGAGAGAUCAAUGAGGGGGAUGCCUUCAGCUUCGAUAACAGCGAGCUCAGGCCUGUGUUGGGUGUCUUGGAUGAAGGCUGGAUCGACCUCUCCCAUGGCUGUGGUAGUGGUUAGAACUUAGAACUCAGAAAUGGUGGUUAUGCACUGCUAGUGUUAGCUGCAGGUGAAGAUGGUGACGGGGAUUUGGCCACUUGGCAGGUGGUUUAGUACAUUGAACCUGGACAUAAAUUGGGUUACGUUUUAAGUUUUGGUUGGGGGUGUGAGCUCACGGGUUGCGCAUAUGUUAAUGAUAAUUGUUCAAGUGAUUUUACCGACAUAAAACAAAAUCUGCCGCCCCAAAGGAAUCUCUCUCAAUGAUUUUACCGACAGCACUCUCCACAUUCAAAUGUUUCAUCCGUAUUUGAAUUGGAGUCUAAUACUCUCAUUGUUUAAUUAACUCCAGCUUGAUUAAUGAAUCCAGUGGUGUCGUGUAUAUUUUCGAAUUCUCUGCUUUAUAUUUAAACCUUCUUGGUUUUUAUGUUCUCAUCCAAUGGUUUAAAACCCAAAAACGAUGCAAAGAGAAAAAGAGAAAAAAAAAAAUAUACAACACAAUUGGAAUUAAAAUAUAUGUAAUAAAAAAAAUAAAAACUAAUUCAUUUUGAGUUUUAUUUUUCAAAAUAAUAACUCUAAUAUAAUAACUAAAUAAAUAAACAUAUAGUAAUUAAAUACAUAAUAACUAAAUAUAUUAAUGUCUUCUCAUAAUUGAGACUUUACAACAUAUACUCAAUUUUUAAACAAUUCUAAAAAAAUAAGUGAAAAUAAUUAAAAAUACUUAAAAUAUGUUACCAACAAAUACCUUAUUGUCCUAACAAAUCUCAAAAACCUUAUUUAGGACCAAUUGAAAAUCAAAAAAAAAUUCAUAUUUCUUUACUCUUGAAAAAAAAAAAUGGUUCUUGAUGACAGUCUCAAACAUAUCCUCCCAUUUGGUUAUUUUAUUGUAUAAGUUUUUCAAUAAAAUAAAAUAAUUAAUGAUAGUGUUUGUAAGGAAAAAUCAAAAUAUCAUACAAAAUUAAUACACAUCUUUUUAUUAUUCAAUAUUUCUAUAUCAUAUUUACAUUUUUUUUUAUAAAAAAAUUAUAUAUAUACAAUGUUUUAAAAACCGGAUCGGAUCGGCCGAUCCAACCGAUGACCGGUCACAUUUUCGGUCCGAUCCACUCUAUUAAACCGUUUAACUAUUGGAUCGGUUACGAACCGCCUAAACCAACGGUCAAACUGGUGAACCGAACAGUCCAUAUUGGCCCAUCAUUUUGCAAGUCCAUUGUAUAAAAAAUUAAAAGUUGUAGGCCAAAAACCAUACUAGGCCAUGUCUUAACAUGACAAAGCCCGCACCCAAACCAUUUAAGUAGGCUCAGUUUUGAGCCCACAAGGUGGGCAUGCUGUUGCUUUCAAUGAGGAUACUUUUUAUAGGCAUCCUUUGCACCCUUAUUUCUCUCACAAUCCGAUGUGGGAUUGCAAACUAAUAUGAUAAUAUCAAUGAAAAAAAUUUAACAAAUGCAACAAGAGGGAGGAUUUGAAGUGGGACCUCAGGUUUUGUAAAUAAACUAGGACACCACUCGGCUACUUAUUUGAUAUGCCAAACAAAACAAUAUAUGUUGGAUUUUAAUUUUUUUUUAAUAUUAAAUAAAAAUAAUAUAAUAUUUUUAAAAAUUAUAAAAUUAGUUAAAUUUUUCAUUUUGAAUAUAUUCACAUUUAAAUAUUGUACACAUUUCAUUUAAUAUGAUUUAAUUUGAUAAUAUCAAAUAUAUAAAAUAAUAUUAUUGAUUUUUAAUUUAUUCAUAUAUAUUUUAAAAUUUUUAUAAUUAUUUUUAAUUUUAAUAAUAUAUAAAUUACAUAUUUAUGACGUCAUCGGUUCGACCGCGGUUCGACCAUCGAUUCGACCGCGGUUUGAUCGGUAAACCGUGAACCGGUAACUUUUUCGAUUCAAUGACCCAUCCGGUUCUGAAAACAUUGUAUAUAUACAUAAUUUUAUCAUUUUUUUAAGUUAUAUUUAAAAUUUUCAUAUAUUUAAUCAAUUUACUAAUAUCAAUAUUUCCUUACAUAUUUUAAUAGUCGUAACCAUACAAAAGAUUGUCAAAUUAAAGGAAACAACACAUGAAAUGAGGAUGUGGAAAAAAAAAACACGAUAACAACGAAAUCAUGAUUUGUUUUUUAUUAUUCAAUAUUAUUAUAUCAUAUUUACAUUUUUUUUAUAAAAAAAUUAUAUAUAUACAUAAUUUUAUCAUUUUUUUUAAGUUAUAUCUAAAGUUUUCAUAUAUUUAAUCAAUUUACCGAUAUCAAUAUUUCCUUACAUAUUUUAAUAGUCGUAACCAUACAAAAGAUUGUCAAAUUAAAGGAAACAACACAUGAAAUGAGGAUGUGGAAAAAAAAAACACAAUAACGACGAAAUCAUGAUUUGUUUAAGGCGAAGGAAAUAAUAGUGAGAUAGACAAAGCUUAUAAUAACAAAGUACUGACAUUAUUAAUAUGUGGAAUUUGGUUUUCAGUUUUUUUUUAGAUUUUUAUAUAUUAUAUCUAUAAAUCUUAAUUCAAAUCUAAGUAAUACUUAAUAGAACUAUGAUGUUUGUUUUUUUUUUUUUUUUGUUUCUUUUAUCUAAAUCUUAAAGCAAUUUGCUUAAAAAUUGAAAUCAUUUUUAAAAUUAUUUGUUUAUUUCAUUUUAAUAGGAAAAAUAAAUAAUUUUACUUUUAACUAUGUAUACCUUAGUGAUGGGAUCAAAUUCCCAACGCAAUCAGUUUGAAUAACAACAUAUGAUUGAAGACGAUCAUCGCUAAAAGCUCUAUAUUCCCCAACCCAAUCAGUUUGAGCUCAAAACCAAGCUGCAAUUCAACCUAGUUUUGCAAUGGAUUGCAUCAGAUUUGUUUCCAAGAAGAUAAAAAUAAAACGAAACUUGGAAUAAGCAUCAAUGAAGUGAAUGUGAAACUGAUAGCCAAUAGAGGAUUGUGUAUUUGACACUCCCCAAAAAUCUGACUGCAUUAAUUUGGAGCAGUUCCGUAUAUUGAGUUGCAGAUAAUGGAAAUGGGAAUUCAUGGAUUUUGCCCAGACAACAUGUUGAAUUGAAACUACUCAAUUCAACAGAAAAGAAGCUACCAUGAUGGAGGUUGAGGAGUACUCCAUUGUUGGCAGUGGAGGCUCUCAUACCGUCUGAAGAAGCUAAACCAAAAGAAAUUCCAGCAGAAAAGAAAUGCUUUUUCCCUCAUCUAAAUAAUUGAUUACAAAAUUCUAUACAUAGCUAAUUGUAGAACAAACUUUAAUUAUCUGGAACUGUGAUAACAAACUACUAAUUGGGUCAACCAACUCUCUUGGCAUGAUUUAUUUAGAGUCCAACACCAUGAUUUUUCAGGGACUAAAAGUGGAAAAUGGUCUUACAACAUCAUUGUUCGGAAACUCUGAAAUGAUGAAUCUGAAUGUUUUCGACAGUUUGCUUCUUGAAAUCACUCCUGUUUCUAGUUGCCAUGAACUUUCCCCAGUUGUACUCUUUAAAUUUAGGGGGGUUUUCCUCAUUGGUCAACUCCUCCAAUGGCUUCACAUUCACAUGAUGCACCGGUAAGAAAAAGAAUGGAAUCGAAAACCUUUCCUUCUCACUAUUCGCCACCACCAUGUGCUCCACGCUCUCAUAUUUAUCAUUGCUCCAAACCUGUAUAGUGUUGGAUAAAUAUUGAGAAAAAGUAACACCAAUUUCUCCAACAUGUUUUUCUUUUUUUUUAAAUAAUAAUAAUAAGAUACAAUAUAUAAGACCUAGCUAUUAUAAUACCUAUAAAAAAAACUCAAACCAAUCACAACAUGUCAUGUAUAUAAUUAAGUUUAUUUACUUCGUAUAUGAUUUCAUUUUUCUAGAUCUAGUCUCGAUACUUUUAUCCCUAUCCAAUGCUCUAGAUUUUAUCCUAUACUUUUGAGGAGGUUUUGAAUUGAUAACCUACAAUUUUCCAAUGUGUACAAAUGAAAUUGAAGUCAUUUGAUGGAUCAUACCUGAAUAAUAUCACCAACAUCAAUGAUAUAAGCAUUUGGAAUAGGCUUUACUCCAAUCCAUUCACCAUCAACUUUUCCCUUCACUUCCAACCCUGUGACACCAUCUUGAAAGAGAACGGUUAAAGCUUUGGCGUCCUUGUACCGACCCACAACGAGAGAGCUUCGGCCACGAGAACGGCGGAGAGUGAUAAUUGAGUCGGAUUAAGCUGGUUUGCCAUUGGAAUAACUCAUUCAACUAGUCCCCGGCCAAGCCUAAGCUUAAGAAGAUGAGUUCUAAGAACUUGUUGGCUAAUUUUUCUAUUUCUCCAACAUAUUCUUUCCAAAUUUUCAUGAAAAUAAGUCAUUAUAUAAAAUAUAUCAAUACUCAAAAUGAAUUUAAUAAAAUCUUGCCAUGCCUUUACGUCUCUAUUUGAGUUUGUUUGCCUUUGAGUUGUGCCUUUACGUCUCUACUUGAGUUUGAUCGACUUUGAGUCGCAUUUUUAUGCCUCUAGUUGAGUCUAUUUAGCUUCAAGUCGUGCCUUAACAGUUCGAGUUUAGUCUAUUCGGCUUCAAACCGCACUUUUACAUCUCUUUCAUCUUUGAGCCACGUAUUUAUGUCUCUAGUUGAUUUUGUUUGACUUUAAGCUGCACCUCAUGCCUUUAGUUGAGUCUGUUCAGCUUCUAGUCGUGCAUCUAUAUUUCAAGUUGAGUUUAUUUGGCUUCAAGUUGUGUCUUUACGUUUCAAGUUGAAUCUAUUUGGCUUCAAGUUGAAUCUAUUUGGUUUCAAGUCGCACCUUUACAUCUCUAGUUGAGUCAGUUCAACUUUGACCCACGUCUUUACAUUUCUUGUUGAGUUUGUUCAACUUCAAGUCAUGCUUUUAUGUCUCUAGUUGAGUUUGUUUAGUUUCAAGCCACAGCUCUACAUCUCUAGCUGAGUCUAUUCUGCUUCAAAACAUGCCUUACAUUUCAAGUUGAGUCUAUUCGGCUUCAAGUUGCGCUUUUGCAUCUCUAAUUGAGUCUAUUCGACAUUGAGCUACGCCUUUACUUUUCAAGUUAAGUCUAUUUAGCUUCGAGCAACGCCUUUAUAUUUGGAGUUGAGUCUGUUAGGUUUCAAGCUACGCUUUUACAUCUCUAGUUGAGUCUAUUCGACUUUGAGUCAUGCCUUUAUGUUUUGAGUUGAGUUUAUUCAACUUUGAGUUACAUUUUUGCGUCUCUAGUUUAGCAUGUUCAACUUGAAGCAAUGUCUUAACGUUUCAAGUUGAGUUUGUUCGGCUUUGAGUUGCGCCUUUACGUCUCUAGUUGAGUUCGGCUUCGAGUUGUGCCUUUUUGUUUCGAGUUGAGUUUGUCUUAACUUUGAGUCACACCUUUACGUCUCUAAUUGAGUUUGAUUGGCUUCAAGCUGCGUCUUUAUGUUUCAAGUUGAGUUUGUUCGGCUUCAAGUCGUAGCUUCAAGUCAUGCCUUUAUGUCUCUAUUUGAGUAUGUCUGGCUUCAAGCCACGUCUUUAUGUUUUGAGUUGAGUUUGUUAGGCUUUGAGUUGCACCUUUACGUUUCGGGUUGAGUUUGUUCAGCUUUGAGUCACAUUUUUAUAUAUCUAGUUGAGUUUAUUCGACUUCGAGCCACACCUUUGAGUUUCAAGUUGAGUCUAUUCGGCUUCAAACCACACUUUUACGUAUCUUGUUAAGUCCUAUUCAGCUUCGUGCUAUGCCUUUACAUUUCUUGUUGAGUUUGUUCAGCUUUGAGUAUCGUCUUUAUCCUUAUUAAGUUCAUUCGGCUUUAGUCGUGCCUUCACCCUUAUCCUUAGUUUUGAGCCUAUUUGACUUCAAGCCAUGCGUUUGUCCUUGUUAAGUUUAUUCGGCUUCAAGUCGCCUCCUAGUUUUAAGUUUGUUUGGCCUCAAGCCGCACAUUCCCCUCUAUUUGAGUUCAUUUAGAAUUUUCCCCUUCCUCGAGUUUAUUAUGACAUUCUCUUCCUUCAAUAUCAUUUUUUGUGAGUUAAUCACUUCUUAUCUUGGUUGUCCUUGAGUUGUAUGUUGUGUCACGAUCUAGUGUUGUUCAUUGCAUAUACACUCCCCACAUUAUUUGUAUCUUUAUCUUAAGUUUCUUCCUUAGUAUGUGAUCCUGAUCUUUGAGCUUAGCAUGCCAUGUGUUAUGAAAAAAUUAUGAGUUCUCUUUUGUUCUUCAAUGCAAUUCACUUCAUACCAUUCAUCACUCAUGUUUCACUCUUCGUGUUCAGUUCACUCAUGAACUAUAUCAAAUAAGGGCAUAUUUAUAGACCCUCCAUUUUGUCUCAUAGCACGUAUGUUUGCAUUUUUUAUUUUCCUCUCGCCCCAUGCCCAUUUUAAUUUGGUGUCCGUUUGGAUACUUCUUGCUUAAUCAUUCAUCAUCCCUUAUUAGUUCACAUUUACUUGGCUCAUUAAUCAUUUUUUAGCCACAUUUUGGAGGCCAUUUAGGGCGAUUUUGGGUCUAAGCUUUUUUUUUUUAGAGGCUCUCAGUAGAUGGCUCAUAAUGAGGACACGUGUUUUUAAAGGGGUCUUCUAGAGGCUUCUAGGGUCAGUUGGGAGAGCACGUUCUUAUUUAUAUAUCUAUUGUUUUGGAGGUGAGUUGUACACCAAGAGAAUGAGGGAGUAGAUGGAGGUUUUUUAAACAUUGUAAGAGGAGAUUCGUUUUGAUUGGCAUUUAUACCAAUAAAAUCUUGGGAUUACUGAGAACUCAACGGGACCUUCCCUCUCAAAUCAUACAAACUUGGCCAAAGAGGGGUGGGUACCAUUGAGUUCUUAGGCUUUCAUGUCGAUAACUCAAUUCAUCUUAUUACUAAAGGGAUGAACCCAAUCCGGAAUAUGAACCAAAAAAGAAAAUGUCUAUUAAAUUGAUGACAGGAAUACCAGUUACAGUAGCUAUUAGCCAAAAGGAAUCCUUCCAAGUUGGAGGUGGUUAGAGAGAGAGAAGGCUGGGCGAGAGAGAGAGACACGUAAAGAGAAUAUUCUCUCUGGUGAGGGUUUGUUAGACGGGAAGCAAGAAGCUUGAGGGUAGAGAGGACAAUCAGAGGAGGAGUUUGGAGGAAGAGG